ACCCCAAUCAAACUAAAGGGGAAAAUAUGGGCAAUUUCUACUCAGCAGGGAGAGAUCCCAUAUUUUAUUGUCAUCACUCGAACGUCGACCGAAUGUGGGACUUGUGGAAGAAAAUACCUGGAGGGAAGCGAAAGGAUAUCGAGGAUCCUGAUUGGCUUAAUUCAGAGUUUCUUUUCUGGGAUGAGAAUAAAGAGCUGGUUCGAGUAAAGGUUAAAGAUACUCUUGACACCAAGAAGCUAGGAUAUGGCUUUCAAGAUGUUCCUAUUCCUUGGCUGACAACUAGAGCAACACCAAAAUUAACAAGGCAGGAAAAAUCACGUCGUGCAGCUGAAAAAAGCGUUGUAUUAACACCAAUUAGUGCAUUCCCUGUUGUCUUGGAUAAAGUCAUAAGUGUGGAGGUUUCCAGGCCAAAGAAAUCAAGAAGCGCGACGGAGAAAGAAGAUGAAGAUGAAGUUUUAGUUAUUGAAGGGAUUGAGUAUGAAGAAAAUCAAUUAAUUAAGUUCGAUGUCCUCGUCAACGAUGAACCUGAUUCACCUGGUGGACCAGACAUGUCCGAGUUUGCAGGAAGUUUCGUCAAUGUGCCUCACAAGCAUGCAAAAAAAUCAAAGACAACUAUGGUAUUGGGGAUUACAGGAUUGUUGGAAGAUCUGGAAGCUGAAGGAGAUGAUACCCUUGUGGUGACUUUCGUGCCUCGGACUGGUGGUGAUUCUGUUACCGUUGCUAAUGUCAAGAUUGAGUUUGUCGCUGACUGAUCAUGGUGAUGAGAGGACAUAUGCUACCAUUUUCUUUUCUUUUCUUUUCUUUUUUUCCUUUUGCCUUUUCUUGUUUUUUCUCUUUCAAUGUCAGUAUUCAGUGAGUUUUCUCUUUUUUCUUUCAAGAUGCUCAACUAAUGGACCGUAUUUCAAUUUGAAUACUACAAUGGUUUCUUAGAUUUGUUGCCAGAAGUAGAUGAACAAAAACAACUAGACCCAUAUGGUAAAAAAUCAUUGUCAUUUUAGACUUUUUUUAAAUGAUACAUAAACCAAAAACAAUAUGGUUUUGAAAGAAAAAAACUAAAUUUUAUCAUAAACAAACCCCUAUCAGAUCUCAAAUUAAUGAAUUACCAAGUUGACCCUAGAUCUUAUAUAACUAGGUCUGGAUUGACAAAAAUAACUAGACUUAGUCGGUAAAAAAAAAAAAAAAAAGACGUGAUGGAGGACUGGCCAAAGCUACUUUCUUCUCCUCUGCCUCUGUUCUUUGUGCGCUUCUCCUAUGGUCUUGCUUUUCUUUGCUUGGCUUCUUUUUUCUUAUCUUGUUCUCCCUGUCUCCCUUAGUGUCUGCCUGGUAUUCUUGUGGUGCUCAUCGUGUUCUCAGGUUUUCUUCCUUUCUCUUCAGUGUAGGUGUCGUCUGUUCCUCUGUGUUUUUUUGUUCCUGUGUUGUUCUAUGUUGGCUUGAGCUUGCUCCCGGUUGCUGGAGUUUUGAAGGAGAUUCUACAGUUCCUUUCCUCUGUUUCACUCUGCCUCUGUUUUUUUUUCUCUGGUUCGUCCUUCCUGUAUUUGCUCCUUCGUCACCUUCUCUCUCUACUGGUUUUUCCCUGUCCUCUCCUCCCUUGGUUUUUCUGUUCUUACGUUCGUUUCCUUCCUGUAUUUGCUCGUUCAUCCCCUUCUCUCUCUACUGGUUUUUUUUCCUAUCCUCUCCCCUCCCCCCUCAUUCGUGGCCUUUCUCUGGCUUUUAUAAAGCCAGAGAAUGCCAAGCAUUCGUGCAUCGUGAGGGCGAGGGAUAGCAGCUGGGAGACGUGGUCCAUAAUUGAAACUGUUUUGGUGCAUUUACUGCUGAAACGAUUCCUGAGGAAGAAGGCGAGUCGUUUUCUUGAUUAAAAUGACUAUUUUUAAUUUUGCUCCUCGAUCAAUUAGAAUUGUAUCCUUGAAUUUCAGCAUCAUUUACAAAACAGUUAUUGGUUUCUGAAUUAUUCAAUUUAACCUUUAAUUAACCCUUCAACUUUAAAUUCUUUCAAAAUUACCUCUAUGAAAUAUCAAUUAACCCUUUAUAGUAUCACCACCUAUUUAUUUUAGUCCUUGAACUUUAAUUUCUUGCAAUUUUAACCCAAAUCAACCCCAAACUUUGAUAUUUCUUCAAUUAAGCCUUUGAUUGCAUUAAUUAAUUAAAUCAAAGUUUAAUUAAGUCCCCAUACUUAUCAAUUCUUUUAAUUUUUUACCAAAUUGACUCCCAAAUUUAUAAUUUCAUCCUUAUUAGUCCUCAAACUUUCAAUUUGUGUUGUCUUAACCCAAUUUUCAAAUUAUUUUUUUCAUUCAUUUUUUGUUAUUUAUUUAUUAUUUAUUAUUAUUUUUUUUGAAAAUUAAAAAAUUGGGUUAUGUCACCCAUGUUAUGUUAAUAGUAUUUUUAAUUCUUCUAAUCAUUUUUUUCAGGGUUGUUCUUGAUUUUGUUUUUUUUUGUUGCUUUUUUUUUGUUUCCCUAGUUUUUUUGUUUUUUUUCCUCAUUCCUAAUUAAAACAUUAUCCAUUCACUAUGCAUUGAUAUUCUUUAAGUUUUCUAUGUAGCUCUAGUUUAUAUUUGCAAUUAAGUUCUGAAUUUUAAUAAUAUUUGCAAUUAAGUAACAAUAUUUCAUUCUAAUUCUGUUUUUAACUCUAAGCAGUUGUAAGAGAAAAGGAAGAAGAGGAAAAUACUCCAAUUAAGGUAUUUUCCAACCUCGAAAUUGUUAAACUUGGUUUUUAUGUAUUCGAUUGACAAGGAUAUUUAUUUGAUGGUGAUAAAAAGCCUUAACAUAGCAGAAGCAAGAAGAUCAAGAAUUCAAUAAUAUAAAGAUUUUUUUUAUUUAGUUGGGUUUUGAAGGUUGUUUUUGGUUAAUUUAGAUGUAUUUUGAGAUUGAAAAUGAGUUUAUAGAGGUUGUUAGCAUGAUGUUUUGGUGUUUGGAGGGGAAAAUGAAAGAUUUAGAUUUGCACGAACAAAACUACGUACCAAAUUAUCAGUCUUGUAAUUUUCUAGCAACCAAAUGAUUGUUGAAAAUAUUAAUUGGUCAAAACAUUUUGGAAAAAUUAACCUGACCCUUUUGUAGUUUAGUCAUCUUUUCUCUUUGUCUCAAUUCUUUAAAAAAUUAUGAUUUAUAUUUUGAAGUUCAUGAGUUUAUAACACUUCACCGCACGCCAAAACAAACCAACAAAAAACAUUGAAUUGUUUACAAGAUUGUCAUUAUAUUUUAUUUAAUGAUUAAAAAGCUCUUGGAAUGUUAAAAUUAAAAAAUCACCACAAUUUUUUUUUUAUAAAAAAACUAGGUGCUGAAAAUCUUACCCUAGCUCCAUCUCUUCUCUUGUUUUCUUCUAGCCACCACAAUCACCUUACAUCUAUCAUCUCUCUUAUCUACACCUUCAUAGAUUUCAACGUAGCCCAAUACAGAAGCCACCUUAUACACAUCCUUCUGUAACAAUACGCAUAACUAUACCAACCAUCUCACAUCCUUCUACUAUGCAGAGCAAGUAGCAGUGGAACUUGUGUUGUCACCCUCACUAGAAGAUAAACCACUUCCACAUUUGAUCACUCUCAUUUCAAUAUCUGUUGUAAAACAUAGUAGAGCUUUUGGCUCUUCUCAUUAAGAAGGGAAAAAUACUUUUUUCAAAUAUUCAAUCUAUCAAAAAAGCACAUCACCAAUUCACAUGAAAACACUACAAAUUUACAUGUCUCGGACAAGUGAUAAAAGGGAAAAAUUCAUUCCCUUAGUUUACAAUCUUAAAAAAGGAAAUAAAAAACACCAAUUCUUUAAGACUCCAAAUCAAUUCUAAUAGAUGGUAAAUUCAAAGAAGAAAUAAGUAAUUAAAAAUUUAAGAUGGCAAAACACAAGCCCUUACCAACAAAACCCGAGAAUUACAACCUUAUGUGUAAAAAUAAUUACAACUAUCACAUCAGGACAUGGCGGCGACUAAUUAAAAAUAUUUGAUAAAAGAACAGAUAUCUAACAUCUUGUUUUUUGCAGGAAAAUGUCUAGUUUAAAGAGUCGUCACCUAAUAUUAUGAUCACUAUGAACCCUAACUAGUCAAAAGAGAUUCUAUGGUAUGAGACUGGUUACACGAAAGAAAAGAUGUUAUUAUCUCUUAAGCGUCUUAUAUAAGGCAGACUGCAUUGCUUGUUUUAUCUAAAAUUGCUAAGAAUUUGUUUUCCUUUUUUUUUUGUUUCUACGAUGUUCCUGACUCUAGCGUCAGUGAACAAUUAUUUACAAAUAUUAUCAACUUUGGUGUUGGUAAAUAUUGCAUAACCUAAAAAUAUAGAACUCAUGACUUUGGCACUAGUGAAUAAACCCGUAAAAUUUGAGUUUUAAAAAAAGGAAGCUAUUUUUAUUUGUUUUUUUUAUGGUUAGAUCUAGCCCUGCUAUAUGGAUUGGGCUAGACCCAAUGGCCCGGCCUAGUCACUGGCCCAAGCCAGUGACCCGGCUGACCACUAUUGCACACAUGCGUGAAUGGUUCACGCAUGCAUGCAACAAUAACUGGUUAAUUAUUUUAGAAAGGAAGGAAGGAAACUUACCUGUGUUAGUUAUUAAACUUGUUUAUCAAGUUAAGUGUAUUGAAGUUAGUUCAAUGAAUAAUCAUCUACAUUAUAAAUACUAUGAAUUUAGUAGUAAUAUGAAUCUAGUAGUACUAUGAAUCUAGAGUAAAUAUUGAAGAGUCAAUAUUAAUUAAGUUCUUUGGAGAUUGUAAAAGACAUUUUAUAAUGUCUAUAUAUAUUGUCUAGAUUUGAUAAUGAAAAGUGUGAGAGUACCAUUAUUUAGUGUAUUGUAUUCCAUCAUAUUGUGUGAGUGGUGAGCCCUCCUCUAUUCUGUCAUUGUUUUUUCCAACAAAGUGGUAUCAGAGCUUGAGAGCAGAUAUGGCUUCCAGCAACAACAAUUCUCAAUUUCAUAUUCCCCGUAUUACCAAACAAAACUAUGAUAUGUGGUGUAUUCAAUACAAGGCACUACUAAGAUCACAAGAGUUAUGGGAGUUAGUUGAAGAUGGUUACACUGAACCAGAAUCAAUAAGAGAAGAGACAUCAAUGAGUAAUGCAGAAAGACAAACAUUGAGAGAAUCAAGGAAGAAGGAUAAUAAGGCGUUAUUCACCAUUUAUCAAGGACUUGAUGAAGCAACUCUUAAGAUGGUGGCACCAGCAAAGAUGUCAAAGGAGGCAUGAGAAAUGCUUAACAAGACUUAUAAUAGAGUUGAAAAGACAAAAAGGGUACGGUUGCAAUCAUUGAGAGGAGACUUUGAGAAGUUGAGUAAGAAAGUAAUGAGACAGUUUCAGAUUACUUCACAAAAGUAAUCUCUGUGGUUCACCAGAUGAGAAGGAAUGGUGAAAAUAUUGAUGAUGUUCGUGUGAUGGAGAAAAUUCUGAGGUCUCUGGAUUCAAAGUUUGAUCAUGUGGUUGUAGCAAUUGAAGAAUCAAAGAAUUUGAAAGAUCUGACAGUAGAAGAAUUAAUGGGAUCUCUGUAAGCCCAUGAGCAGAAAAUUGAUAGAAGAGGAAAAUGAAGAUCUCUUGAACAAGCAUUGCAGACAAAGUUAAUUGUGAAGAAUGUUAAUGAAUCUGGCAGAGGAGCAUUUCAUAGAGGAAGUUUAUUCAUAGAUGAGGAAGAGGAGGAAGAUCAUUCAGAAAUCAAGAAUCUCAUGGAGCACGAAAUCAAAAUUUUAAUUUCAGAGGCCAUGGCAGAAGCAGAGGAAGAAGUCAUGGAGGAUAUUUAAAUUGGAGGAAUAAUAAUGCAAACGUAUAAUGUUAUAAUUGUAAAGAGUAUUGUCAUUUUGCUUCAGUUCACAACACAAAUUUGAAGACAAGAAUGUCAACUUUGCCGAGAAAGAAAUUGACUAUGAAGAGCCUGCAUUAUUGUUGGCCUGUGGAAAAUUUGAUGGUAGCAACUCCAGCACCUGGUAUCUAGAUACAGGAGCAUCAAAUCAUAUGUGUGGUAUGAAGGAAGCAUUUGUUGAUAUCGAUGAAAGUUAUAAAGGUAACAUUACCUUUGGAGAUCUUUCUCAAAUACCAGUUAAAGGAAGAGGCAGAAUUCUUAUUGAACUUAAGAAUGGUGAGCAAAAGUUCAUAUCAGAAGUUUCUUAUAUUCCAGACAUGAAGAACAACAUUCUGAGUUUGUGGCAGUUUCUGGAGAAAGGCUUUGAAGUGCAGAUGAAAGAUAAGAAUCUGAAGAUUUUUUAUGAGUCUGGAGCUGCAAUUGCUUCAGUUAAAAUGACUAGAAAUAGGAUGUUCCCUCUAGAUCUGAGUAUAUAUCUGUCAAAAUGUUUUAAGGCAGAAAUCUCCAACAUGAUGGAAGAUAUUUCAGAUGGAUGUAAAGUCAGCAUCGACAACCUUGAACAGGUAGUGUAUGUAGAACAACCAGCUGGCUUUGUGGUAAAAGGAGAAGAAGAGAAGGUUUGCAGAUUGAAGAAAGCUCUUUAUAGGCUUAAACAAGCACCAAGAGCAUGGAGCUCCAGGAUUGAUGGCUAUCUUUCCCAGAAAGGAUUCAUAAGAUGCCCUUAUGAGCAUGCAUUAUAUGUGAAGAAAAGUUUACAAGGUAGAGUAAUGUUUGUUUGUUUAUAUGUUGAUGAUAUACUUUUCACAGAGGAUGAUCCAACUAUGAUUCAAGACUUCAAGCAAUCCAUGGUGAAUGAAUUUGAAAUGACAGACUUAGGUCUCAUGGCCUAUUUUCUGGGAUUAUAGGUGAAGCAGUGCAGUGAUGGAAUCUUCAUUUCACAAACCAAGUAUACAACAUAAGUUUUGUAGAAAUUUGCCAUGGAAGAUUGUUGUCUAGCAGACAAUCCAAUUGAAUAUGGAACCAAAAUAACUAAAGAAGGAGAAAGAUAUUUAGUUAAUCCUACAUACUACAAAAGUAUUAUGGGUUGCUUGCGUUAUUUAACAUGUACCAGAACAGACAUUAUGUUUAGAGUUAGCUUGAUUAACAUAUAUAUAGAGAAGCCAAGAAGUUCACAUUUGAAGACAACAAAGAGGAUCCUUCGUUUUGUUAAAGGAACUUCAAGGUAUGGAUUGUUUUAUUUAUCUUCGCAGAAUCUUGAAAUUACAGGUUACAGUGAUAGUGACUGGGCAGGAAGCUUGGAAGACAUAAAAAGCACAACUGGAUUUGUAUUCUUUAUGGGAGAAACAACUUUCACGUGGACAUCAAAGAAACAAUCUAUUGUCGCAUUAUCCACAUGUGAAGCAGAAUACAUUGCUGCUGUAUCAUGUGUGUGUCAUGCAAUAUGGCUAAGGAAACUGAAGGAAGAUUUGCAGCAGAAACAUAGCAAGGCUACACGAAUCUUUGUUGAUAACAAGUCUGCAUAGCACUUGCAAAGAAUCCAGUUCAUCAUGAACGUUCAAAACAUAUUGAUACUCGAUUUCACUUAAUCAGAGAGCACAUAAAAGAAGGCGAUGUGGGGUUAGUUCAUGUCAAAACUCAUGAACAAAUUGCAGACAUUUUUACAAAGCCAUUGAAGACUGAUGUGUUCUGUUAUUUGCAAAAGAAGCUUGGAAUCAUGAAGAUAGACGGGACAAGUUUAAGAGGGGAGAAUGUUAGUUAUUAAACAUGUUUAUCAAGAUUAAGUGUAUUGAAGUUAGUUCAAUGAAUAAUCAUUUACAUUAUAAAUACUAUGAAUUUAGUAGUAUUAUGAAUCUAGUAGUACUAUGAAUCUAGAGUAAGUAUUGAAGAGUCUAAUAUUAAUUAAGUUCUUUGGAGAUUGUAAAAGACAUUUUAUAAUGUCUAUAUAUAUUGUCUGGAUUUGAUAAUGAAAAGUGUGAGAGUAUCAUUAUUUAUUGUACUGUAUUCCACCAAAUUGUGUGAGUGGUGAUCCCUCCUUUGUUCUGUCAUUAUUUUUUCCAACAACCUGUACGUGCUUCUACUGAAGGCGAAGUUGAGGGAGACAGCCGAAUGACGCUGGAGACCGGUGGCUGGGCAAACAUCUUGACUUUCUCUUCAUUCUUCUGUGUUUCUCCUUUCUCCCUGGUCUCCUUUUUUUUUUUUAAUUUCUCUCCCUUUUCCUUUUUGGUUUCUGUUGCUCCUCGCUAUUAUGGAAAGGGAAUGUAGCUGUUGGUCGGAGGAGCACGGUAGGGAGAGGAGCGCCUGUUGGAGCUUGUAGUGUGCUGCUAUUCAUAGCUGGUGCAGAGGAGAGGAGAUCGCGGUAGCAAUCUAGAGCAGGAGAGUCGGUGUUGUGAAGAGUUACUGGAUGUUGCUUGGGGUUGGACUGAAACUUACCUUCAGCUGGCAAUGGGAACCUCUGAUGGAUUCUGCUCUCAGUCGAAGAUAGGAUGGUUGAUGCUGCUGUUGCACAACUUAAAGAAGAGAAUUCUAAUGUUUGUUCAUUGUAAAACCAAAGAUUGCAUGUCUGAGAGGAAACCUUCUGCUGCUCACGAUGGCAUCUUGCUGAGAAGAGGAUUUCUCCUGCUCACAGUGGCAGCUUGUUUUGAGGAGCGGCUGGCGUUUGUUGCUGAUGGUGUGACUAGAAAUCAAAUGGCUGGAACCAGUGUUGCUGCUAUAUCAGAGAAGAGGAAAUCAUGGCAGCAAUCUAGAUGAGGAGAGCUGGUUUUUUCGGUGAGGAGGAAAGGAGGAGCGACCCCACUGCUGUCUUGGCGACUUUGCUGUUAUUGCUGCUGGUAAGAAGAGUUGUCCACGAUGCAACCUUUCUGGCCUGGUGGUUUAGUGAUAUCCUACCUUGACGAGGACCAGGCAUGAUAACUUAACAGCAUGCAGCAGAGUUCAACCGAAGAAGGGGUUACCGGGACAAAAAGAUGGAGCUGAUUUCUCUUUUCUUGGUGUUGGUGGCGGAGAUAUGGACAGAGAGAGGGUGCUGGCUAGUAUUGGUAUUGGUUGCUUCUUGGAGAGAAAAAAAAAGGCAGUGGGUCGUGGUUGGUCUUAUAUAAGGUGAUUCUUUAGGGUUCGCCGCCCCUUUUUUUAUGUUUCUUUUUUCUUGUAAUGUCUCGCUCCUAUGUGCUUGUUCGGAUCUGUAUUUAUAGUGUAAGAGUCUCAUCGCAUAUAAAAACAAAAUCUCAAACAAACUCAUUUUCUUUUUUGAAAUUUGAAUUUGAUUAAGAAUCAAAUUCGAAUGUGAAUAACUAUCAUUCUCUUAAUGAUAAGGAUAGAAUGCCAAAAGUACAUUGUAGUCCCUAGUUUUCGCGCAAGUUAACAAAUCACACUUUUCAUCAAAAUAAAUAUUUUAUCUUUCAAUUUUACAUUUUAACCCCGUAAAACUAAAUUAAAAGCUUAUGGGCCAAAAUUGAGUUAUAAUAGUUACCCCUUUUUACAAUGCUUACGGUGCAAAGGCAUUGGAAAAUUCUUCUUUUUUUUUUACUUUGUAUAGUAAGUUUUGUAAAGAAAAAUAAGCGUGAAAACCCUUCCUCUUCUUUUCUUUUGAUUAUUUUUUUUAAAUGGUCUAAUUGUUACAGUCGACCUACCCGAUAAUAAAAUGUGAGGCAUUUCGCAAGUGAUCUAAUUGUUCCAGUCGACUUGCACUGUCGCCUCCUCGUGAUGAAGCGCGGCGAAGCUGCGACCCUCCCCGGGAGCAGGGAAUUGAUUUUGUGGUUUUUGUUUUUGUGAAUAAGGGAGUCGCCACCUAGUAUUAUGGUCACUAGGAAACCUAACUGAUCUUUCAGAGAUUCUAAGGCAAGGGACUGGUUGCGUAAAGGGAAGGUAUUAGCACCUCUAGUACGCCCUACCUAAGGUAAGCUGCUUGGUGUUUGGUUUGCCUUAUAAUUGCUAUGGUGUUGGUGUUUUCUAAUCUCAUCAGUUUUCCUAGGAUAAGUUUGCUAUGAUGAACAAACUUGGACUCAUAGUCUAAAAAGAAAGAACCAUUGGUCAAUGUGGAUCACACCCUUAGAUAUGUCUACAAAGUACCAAGGAGAACCAAUGCAGAUCUCUUGAAAUCUGUGUUUGAUUCAGACUAAAUUUAUAACCUAUGAUUUGUGAGAUAGGUAAAAUAGAAAUCUAAGGAGAUUCAAUGUGCUUAAAAGCUCAUUUUUCCCUUAGUACUUCAAGUGUUUGUGACUCGUAAAUCGCAGGGAAGAGAAACAAAAAAAACUAAGAUAGAAAUCUAAGGAAAUUCAAGGUGCUUUAGAAGCCCAUUUUUUCCUUAGUAUUUCAUACUUUCACGGCUCGUAAACCGUGGAGUCAAAUAUUAAAAUGUCCCCAAUUAUAAUCGAGGCUUCUUUCAACGAUGUAUGAUGACUUAUUAUUCCUAAAAAAAUAUUUUGGAUAUUAACCACUUGGGGUUUCUUUAUCCAAACAUUAACAGCGAAUAAUAACAAGUUAUUCCCAAUAAUAUUUUGGAUAUUCAUCCCUUUGGGAUUUCUUUAUCCAAACAUUAACAGUGAAUAAUAGAUGAAUUCCCCCAAAAAUAAGAUGAAGGAAAGAAACUCCCUCUGUUCUCUGUGAUUUUUCUCUCCUAUUGCCUGCCUCUCUCUCGUUUUUUUUCUUGUCUUUCCUCCGUUUCUUUUUUUUCUCCCUCCUCGCUAGGUCAGUAGAGGGGGCUUAUAUAUAGCCUAAUAUAUCUCUAUUUAGGAAAGAUUCAAUGCAUUAAUCUAGGAUGCAAAUCCCAGCUGAUUUGCAGCCAAAUAAUACAUAUGAGGAAACUACAAUAUUCUCAUUGAUUAUGUGUUGAUUCUAGUGAUUUCUUUCCAACAUUAACACAUCAUCUCAGCCAUCUAUGUUAGGGAUAAAAUCCCAGCCAUUAGAUGAUGGUGAGGUUCUUCUCUUCAUGGCAUUUUGCAGAUGUCAAAAGUUGUUGUCUCCUAUGAAUUAAAACUGCACAAACGUGAUUUGCAGCUCCAAAAUGGCAAAUAGCAGCAUGUUGCGGAGAAAAGGAAAGAAAUCAGAUGGGAUAGUUAUGUUCAAAAUGACCAUGAACCUGCUAAUUAAAUCCCAUGGGGCUGUUUUACGAUGCCAAGUAACAGACAUUAUUGAUGUUUCUUGAUCUAGUCCCUGUUUUGUUUAUUCCUCGAACGAAACCUAUUUACUUUCCAAGGUUUGAAAUUUGUCUUUAAUUAAUCUGAUAAAUCCUUAAAACAUUAAAUCGGGUCCCUCGAAUCAAGACCUGAAAAAAAAACUCGGGCUGGAAUCCUUCUUGCGGCAGGAUUCUCUGCUUUUCUACUAAAUAUUCAAACAGGAAUAUCUUGAGCUUAUGAUAUCAAAAUCAAGUGAUUGAAAAGCCCAAAUUCAUCUACACAUAUAGGACUACAACUUUCAUGAAAGAUCCAAAGUGAGAUAAAAUUGUUUUGAAGAACAGAAUUGCAAACAAACUCGGGUUGGAACCCUUCUCGCGGCAGGAUUCUUUGCUUUCACACUAGAUAUUCAAACGGGAAUAUCUUGAGCUUCUGAUGUUGAAAUCAAGUGAUUCAAAAGCCCAAAUUCAUCUACGCGUCCAGGACUACAACUUUGAUGAAGGAUUCAAAGUGAGAUAAAAUCAUUUUAAAGAACAGAAUCUGGCAGCAAUCUAGUUGGUCAACAAGGGUCUCCUAAUCUAAUUCAGAAACUGACAAUGCCGAGCAUCCCGAUAUGACUGAGAGUAUGAGCUAACAAUAACAACCAAUAAAAUUAUGAUGAAAGCAGAGUCUUUAGUGCAAAACUCGGGUCAGAAUCCUUCUCGCGGCAGAAUUCUCUACUUUCUCAUUAGAUAUUCUCAUAUGAAUAUCUUGAGCGUCUGAUAUCGAAAUUAGGAGAUUCAAAAACCUAAAUUCAUCUACGCGUACAAGUCUACAACUUUCAUGAAGGGUUCAAAGUGAGAUAAAUUUGUUUUGAAGAACAGAAUCUGGCCGCAACCUGGUUGGUCAAAAGGAUUUCUUGAUCUGAUUCAGGAAACUGAUAAUGCCGCGCAUCCCAAUCUGACUGAGAGUCUGCCAUAAGAACAGUGAGCCCUAGGACCCAAUAAAGGUGUAGGUCAAUUCUUCAACAUGUCAUGAGUGACAGAAUAUUGCUAGGAUGGUCAGAUAUCGUACGAAACCAAGUCAGAAUCAAAGCCUAAGUUGGAAUAACAAAUUGUGGCAAUAACAAAAUCAAUUUUUUUAGUGCAAAUUCUAAAGGAUUUAUCCAACUUUAAAGACCAGAUAAAAAAGGAAUGAAUUUAGAAUUAUGAAGACUCCUAAUCAGUCUAAGAAAACUGAUGAUUUUGGCAGCAAAGGGGGAGGAUAAAGAGGGUAGAAAACAGCUCAAACAUUGUUUGGAAAAACAUUUCUUUCUUCUCUACUUUUGUCAAUUCCUCACCAAUCAUGAACUAAACUCCUGCAUUUGGUUCAAAAGAGGUAUACAUUGUCUCCAGCACGUGGGGCCUAAAAAUAAGUAACAACAUGCCCGAUGAUAAAAUGUGAGGGAUCUCGCAAGUGGUCUAAUUGUUCUAAGUGACUUGCCCGAUGGUGAAGAAAAAACACGAAGAAUUUCACAAGUGGUCUAAUUGUUCUAAGUGACCUACCUGAUGAUAAAAUGCAAGGGAUCUCGUGAAUGGUCUAAUUGUUCUAGGAGACCUACUCGAUGGUGAAGAAGAAACGCGAAGAAUUUCGCAAGUUGUCUAAUUGUUCCAGGCGACCUGCCCGAUGCUAAAAUGUGAGGGAUCUCGCAAGUGGUCUAAUUGUUCCAGGCGAUCUGCCUGAUGGUAAAGAAGAAAUGCGAAGAAUUUUGUGAGUACUUUCAGAAGAUACAUUCCAGAUAAAAGUGGAUACGGCUGUUGUCAGACCGGCGACAAUCCAGUCCAAGAUGAAGAAGCGAAAGAGGGAACAUAAACUAGUCAGAAAAAGCAAAAUGAAGAAAAAAAGAAUUCUACUUCCCUUUCUUUUUUUUGAAAGCAGAAUUCGAUAAAUUAAAGAGAAACCGACAAAAAGAACAAAGAAAAACAGAAUCCACUUUUGAGUGCUCAUUAUAGCGGUUCCCUCUGAUCCUAGAAAACAUCCAAGGCAAGAGCCUAGGAAACUACCCAGGAGAGAAAAAAUAAAAGAAAGAGAUUUAAUUGUUCCAUGUGACCUUCCAGAUGAUAAAAUGCGAGGGAUCUCGUAAGUGGUCUAAUUGUUCCAGGCGACCUGCUUGAUGGUGAAGAAUGCGAAGAAUUUUGCAUGUGGUAUAAUUAUUCCAAGUGACCUACCCGAUGAUUAAAUGCAAGGAAUCUCGCAAGUGGUCUACUUGUUCCAGCCGAUCUGCCUAAUGGCGAAGAAUGUAGAGAGAGAUUUUUUUUUUGAAAAAUACAAAGAUUUUUCAGAAAUGAUCUCAUUGUAAUGGGUAAUCUACCCGGAUGGAAAAAAAACGAGGAUUUUUCAGAAGGGGUCUCAUUUUAAUGGGUGACCUACUGACACGAUCAAAAGAUUGAUUUCUUCUCCCAAGUGUAGGAGUGUUGAAGUAAUAAAUAACCCGGCAAGACCGGGGUCGAACAACAGGGAGGUGAACUAUAUAAAAUUAUAAACAAUAAAUGAAAAGGAGUUGAAGAGAACUUUUAAGAUGUGAUAUUGAUGUAAAGAUUAAACAAUGAUAAAAUAAUUGUCAAGGUUAGAGGAUCCACUAAUGGUAUUUUAAACAAGUAUAGUAUAAACCCUUUUUAUUACUUGACUAGAAACCACACACAAAGGAGGUUCCAAUCGGAUUAUAAAUUGUUAACAUGAUUACAUUAAUUAUCUUAUUCGAGCAAUACCAAUACUUGUAAAUAUUAUCAGGUAUUCAUGGUGAUAACUUAUGUUAACAACAAAUCAAGUUCCUUUCAUAGCACAGGUGUCGGUUAUACCAUACAGUUGGGCUAUGAAAGUGCCAAGUAUUUGUUGUACCAAGGGUUGUUCAACACAAAUCUAGAUUACCAUUUAACAAGCAAGGUAUUAAGAGUGAGUAAGAUAAUAAAUACAAAACAUGUUAGUAUCAAACAUUAAAGUCCAUGUUGAGUUUAUACUAUACUUAUUCUUACAUCAUUAGUGUAACAUUUUCACCUUGACAUAAUAAACUUAGCUGAACAUUAUGAAUAAGAGAAACAUAGAUAAACAAGAUAAAAACAUAAUUAUAUAAGUAUAGCGAAGGAAAUGAAAAGCAUAAACAAGAGAUUAAUGAAAGCAAAACUUAAGUAUUACAAAAAUAUAAAGAAAAAGAGCAAGAACAUGAUCUUGAUCUUGAUCUUGAUCUGAAAACCAAGAUGCCUAAAUGCAUGGCAAAUGCCUCCUUUUAUAGAUAAAAAUUCGGAACUAUUGAUUUGAUGACUAAUUGUUGAGUGGGUGGCCACCUCUUGACUUGGUAACAAUCCUUAUCUUCUUAUCUGUAGAAAAUGUCAUUGCUAACAUCAGAAUUUGAGUAGAUAGUCUCAUGAAAGUUCUGGGAAAUUGUCUCAGCUUUCCAACAAAACAAGAAUCGAUGCAUUUGGACUUCUAGAACUCGAGAUAUGGGCUGAACACUGAAUAGUGUCUGGGCUGCAAGACAGAUUCUGACUUCUCUGUUGUUGCUACAAUUUGAAAUUGAAAACGCUCAUUUUGAAUCUUGGACUCUUCAUGAAAGUUUUAGGCCUAUGUCUUAGCUUUCCAUACAUAUAAACCAGACCUAAAUCCAAGUUCUACAGCUACAGUUAUGAUCUAAUAACCGAAUGAUGUUCCAGUUUGGACUGAACCAGCAUCUAUUUUCUAAGCUUAGCCCUCUCUUUGUCUUCUCAAUUUUAGUAGUUAAACUCAUCAAUAAAUCCUUUGAUUUAUGUGAUAGACUUGCAUUUAAGAUGAACAUUUACCAUAAAUUAAAGGUAUCUUAUAUUAUUAGACAUGAUGAUAUAAAAUGAUGAUAUAAAAUGUUAAAGAGAUAUUGAUACUUCAAGUGCAAAAUGAUGAUAUAAAACCUUGAUAAAAAUGCACUUUUAAGUACUAAUCACCUACCUUGGUGAAAUAAUAUAUAGAUUUUUUGGGUGGCCUAAUUCUCAUGGGCAGCCUUUCCAGAUCAAAACUCAAAAAGUCUCAUUGUGAUGGGUGACUUUCCUAAAAAAUACGAAGAUUUUUUAUGUGGCCUAAUUCUCAUGGGCGGCCUGCCCAAGUCAAAAACAAUUCUCAUAAAGUGAGCAAUUUUCACAAGCAUUUUCUGUUUUUUGCCAUUUUAAGGUGGCCUUCCUUUUGAGGGAUCCCAUCAAGGAUUUCUCUUAUGAAUCUUUGCAAAACACAUUGUUUAAUGUCUCAAAGUUUAGAUAACAUGCAUGUAUCCUUACCUGAUUUGAAAUAUAGGUCCACAUUUCUUCUCAAUCUUCUUGUUGCUUGAUUAGUGAGGACUUGCUAUCUCUGAUUAUGAUCAUCUUCGUUGUUUGGCUUCUAGCCCACUCGAGUUGGCCCAUGUAAGUCUAUUUCCAGAUUUGUUUACACAAUGAUAAGAAGUAGCAGAGUACGUGGAGGAAGUGUUGCAUGGCUCAAGGAGCUGAAUACGUGGAAGCAGCUGAGUUCGUGGACUGCUAUUGUUUUGGGUUUUAUCAUUGUUUUUAUCGCCAAGUUGAAUUAGUCAAAUAAUCAAAGUGGUGGAAGUAGGAAUGCUAAUCGCAAUCCUGGUCUUCAGCUCCACUUCGGGAAUCCCUGUUAUUUCAAAUUAUUGUUAUUUUGGGUGGCCUAUUUAGGCUCACAAACUCUGUAUGGAAGGAUACCAUUGAAUUAAUAAAACAAUCUUUCCUUUCUCUCCUCUGUUCCUUCCUUAUCUCUUGUCCCAAAUUCUCUUCUUAUCAGCGGUAUCAGAGAGCGGUUCAACCCAUGGACACGCGUGGUAAAACUAAUGUAGAGUUUCGUGCUGAGAUCACUGAAGCUCUCGGACGACACGACGCCAAUUUUGAUGAAUUAAAUCAGAAUUUUAAUCGGGUCAACGACGCUCUUCAAGGAGUCAUGGCUGAACUCCAAGCAAUGAGAAUUGCUCAGACCCAUCGUUCCAGUGAGAGGGAAGUAAAUCCUUUUGCUGGGGGAAGUUCUUCUCAUGACAGGUCAUCUUCUUCACACACUUCUACUUUCGACAGAAAUCAUUCCAACCUUAAGCUGAACUUUCCAACCUAUGCUGGUGAGGGUGAAGACCCAACAGGUUGGAUUUUUAAGGCAGAGCAGUACUUUGAAUUUCAGAAUGUUGAUGCUCCGCGACAGGUUCAAUUGGCUUCUUUUCACUUAACAAGUGUAGCACUCCAAUGGUAUCGCUGGUAUACCAAGGGCAAAGGGCAGCUACGCUGGCAUGAGUUUGUCCAAGCUCUGCUCCAUCGUUUUGGACCAACUGAUUAUGACGAUCCAUCUGAGGCACUUUCCCGUCUUAAACAAGUCACUACUGUCAAUGCGUAUCAGGAGGCAUUUGAGAAAUUAUCUCAUAAGGUCGAUGAGCUCCCAGAGACGUUUUUGGUGAGCUUUUUUAUUGCAGGGCUGAAGGAUGAAAUUCGUUUGGAUGUGCGAGUGAAGCAACCAAAAACACUGUCGGAAUGCAUUAGCGUCGCUCAUCUAAUUGAGGAACGCAACCAGUUCCAAAGGAGGACGAACAACACAUUCAGAACUACGGCAACCUCAGGCCAGGUGAGACAGCAGACUUCCACAAUGGGACUACUAGGACCUGCCCCUUCUCAGCGACCACCACAGGUUUCCCAUUUCCCUGGUGGACCUGCACGAAGACUCACUGGACAGGAGGCACGAGAACGGCGGGAAAAGGGCUUAUGUUUUUACUGUGAUGAAAAGUAUGUUCAAGGGCAUCGUUGCUCCAGACCCCAAUUAUUCAUGAUGGUAGAUGUGCAGUCGCAGGGGGAUGAAGAUGAGGUGGACAUGGAUAUUGAGCCUGACGAAGAAGCAUUACCCGAAAUAUCAUUCCAUGCAUUAGUGGGUACAUCACACCCACGAACUUUUCGAAAUAACAGGGAUUCCCGAAGUGGAGCUGAAGACCAGGAUUGCGAUUAGCAUUCCUACUUCCACCACUUUGAUUAUUUGACUAAUUCAACUUGGCGAUAAAAACAAUGAUAAAACCCAAAACAAUAGCAGUCCACGAACUCAGCUGCUUCCACGUAUUCAGCUCCUUGAGCCAUGCAACACUUCCUCCACGUACUCUGCUACUUCUUAUCAAUCCAUCCCCCUGCGAAGAACCUUGUCCUCAAGGUUAAAUUGAGGAUAUGUCUUGGCGAAACGCCACAAAUUCUCCCACGAAGCAUCUUCUGGCAAGGCUCCCUUCCACUGAACUAAGACCUCUGUUUUGGGACGAUAUUUGUCCUUUUGGACCACCCUUCUAUCCAAAAUCAAUUCAGGUUCUGGUAGUAUGAUGUCAUCUGUAGACACAGGGGGAAGAGUUAUCACGGUAUCGUCAAAAACCGGUCCCCAUUUCUUUUUGAGCAAGCUGACGUGAAACACAUCAUGAAUGUGUGCCCCUGCUGGUAGGUCUAGCUUGUAAGCCACAGCCCCCACGCGAGCUAAAAUUCUGAAUGGUCCAAAAAACCUGGGAGAAAGCUUCAAAGAACUCCUGAACGCUACAAACUCAUAAUUUUAUUGAUCAAUCGGUGGUCAUUAAGUUAGGAUUGCAUGUGGUUAAGGGGAAGACAUUCAAAGUGACAGUAGGGAAUAAAGAAGUAAUUGAAUGUACGGGGAGGUGUUUUGGACUCUCAUUAUCUCUCCAAGGAAUCACGAUUCAGGCUGAUUUCUUUGUUUUGCCCGUGGCUGCCUGUCAAGUAGUGCUAGGAGUCCAAUGGCUAGAAACUUUGGGACCAAUCAAGACUGACUACAAGAAGCUUCGGAUGUCCUUCAAACAAUCAGGCAGAACCCACGUUCUACACGGAAUAACAGGUUCAGAGCUGGCGCCGCUGAGUGAGAAGGAAUUGUUGCACUUAUCUGGUAUGGGGUUCUUUGUUCACAUGGUUUCGGAGGUGCAGUCCAGCUAAGACACUCCAUUACCACCAGACCUGGAGCAAAUUCUAUCACAAUAUUCUCACAUAUUUGAUGAACCCACCAACCUGCCACCUACGCGCAGCCACGACCAUCGCAUUCCUUUACUACCAAAUCAACCACCAGUUAGCACCCGACCUUACAGGUAUCCCCACUAUCAAAAGAAUGAGAUCGAAAAAUUGGUCAAAGAAUUCCUUCAGUCCGGAAUUAUUCGCCCAAGCCGGAGUCCGUUUUCAUCACCCGUCUUAUUGAUAAAAAAAUCAGAUGGGUCUUGGCGCUUUUGCGUCGAUUAUCGGGCACUUAAUGAGAUUACGGUCAAAGAUAAAUUUCCCAUACCUGUCAUUGAUGAGCUUUUGGAUGAACUACAUGGCGCGAAGUAUUUUUCAAAAUUAGACUUGCGCUCCGGUUACCACCAGAUCAGGGUACAUCAGGAGGAUAUUCAGAAGACAGCGUUCCGCACUCAUGAUGGUCACUAUGAGUUUUUGGUAAUGCCGCUUGGGUUGACCAACGCUCCAGCAUCCUUUCAGAGUCUCAUGAAUGAUAUCUUCAGGCCACAUUUGCGAAGAUUUAUCCUCGUUUUUUUUUACGAUAUUUUGGUGUAUAGCAGGAUCAUCUGCUGCAUGUUAAACAGGUGCUGGGAAUUCUGGCUGACCACCAGCUAUUUGUCAAACUCCCCAAAUGCCAGUUUGGGGUGCUAUCGGUGGGGUAUUUGGGCCACCUCAUUUCUUCGGAGGGUGUGGCAGUGGACCCAGAGAAAAUACAAGCCGUUCAGAACUGGCCGGUGCCAACAUCUCCUAAAGGUGUCCGUGACUUCCUGGGUUUGGCCGGUUAUUAUCGCAAAUUUGUACGCGGAUUUGGUGUAAUCGCGGCCCCCUUAACAAAACUUCUCACUAAAGAUGGGUUUUGUUGGACUGAAGAAUGUGAAUUGGCUUUUGACAAAUUAAAGGAAGCUCUCGUCUUCCCCCCAGUUUUACGACUGCCCAAUUUUUCUCGGCCAUUCGUCGUUGAAUGUGAUGCUUGCGGAGACGGGUUAGGGGCAAUCUUGUCUCAAGACAACCAACCGAUUGCCUACUACAGUGAGGCUUUGAAGGGCAAAUCAAAGUUAUUAUCCACUUACGACAAGGAGAUGUUGGCAGUGGUGAAAGCCGUGAGGAAGUGGCGACCUUACCUAUUGGGCAGACCCUUUGUGAUUAAGACAGAUCACAGAAGCCUCAAAUAUUUAUUAGAGCAACGCCUCACAACGCCGUCUCAAGCUCGGUGGCUGCCAAAAAUAAUGGGUUUUGAUUACACCAUUCAAUAUCGCCAAGGGAAGGAGAACCAAGGUGCUGAUGCUCUCUUACGCGUGGCGGCCUUCCAAUUUCAGGCCUUGACUGUGCCAAUUGCCGAUUGGUGGGAAAUCUUGCAGCAAGAGGUACUCAAUCAUCCUUAUUAUAAUUCCUUGCUUACUAAUCAACCCUUAAAUUGUGUUCAACAAGAUGGAGUUUGGAUGCAAAAUGGACGAAUUCUUUUAAGUCCCAAUUCCACGUUGUUACCUGCUGUCUUGGCCGAUGGACAUUCUUCACCAUCAGGUGGCCAUUUUGGUUAUUUAAAGACCCUCACGAGAAUCUCAGCUAGUUUUGUGUGGCCUGGUAUCCGCACCUCAGUAAAAAGCUUUAUCCGAGAUUGUGAGGUGUGCCAACGUUGCAAGCAUGAGACUCUCCGACCAGCAGGUUUGCUUCAACCCCUUCCUAUUCCUCAACGAAUCUGGACAAAUAUAUCCAUGGAUUUUGUCGAAGGAUUGCCGCUGUCACAAGGAUAUAAUGUGAUCAUAGUGGUGGUAGAUCGUCUCUCAAAGUAUGCCCAUUUUGUUCCGUUAAAACAUCCCUACACGGCGGUAUCAGUAGCAAAAAAGUUCCUCAAUAACGUGGUGAAGCUUCAUGGGAUGCCUCUCUCCAUUGUGAGUGAUCGUGACAAAGUUUUUCUUAGCACUUUCUGGAAGUCCUUGUUCAAAUUACAGGGAACAAAGCUGUGUUAUAGCUCCAGUUAUCAUCCACAAUCCGACGGACAAACGGAGUUGGUCAACCGAACUCUUGAGCAAUACUUGCGUUGCUUCUCUUCGGAUCAACCAAAAGGCUGGGUGGAAUGGCUUGCUUGGGCAGAAUAUGGGUAUAACACAGCAGUUCAUUCGGCAACAAAAAUGUCUCCCUUUGAAGCAGUUUAUGGGGUUCCUCCUCCGAACAUGACCUCUUACAUUCCAGGCACAACAAAGGUCCAAGCAGUGGAUAACUUACUGCAAACAAGGGAAGUCAUCAUGCGCGACCUCAGGAGAAAUUUGUUGGAAGCACAGACUCGUAUGAAGUCUCGAGCUGACCUGCAUCGACGGGAGGUCACCUACGAUGUUGGAGAUUAUGUGUUUCUUAAGCUUCAACCCUACCGUCAAAAGUCUGUAGCGUUCAGGAGUUCUUUGAAGCUUUCUCCCAGGUUUUUUGGACCAUUCAGAAUUUUAGCUCGCGUGGGGGCUGUGGCUUACAAGCUAGACCUACCAGCAGGGGCACACAUUCAUGAUGUGUUUCACGUCAGCUUGCUCAAAAAGAAAUGGGGACCGGUUGUUGACGAUACCGUGAUAACUCUUCCCCCUGUGUCUACAGAUGACAUCAUACUACCAGAACCUGAAUUGAUUUUGGAUAGAAGGGUGGUCCAAAAGGACAAAUAUCGUCCCAAAACAGAGGUCUUAGUUCAGUGGAAGGGAGCCUUGCCAGAAGAUGCUUCGUGGGAGAAUUUGUGGCGUUUCGCCAAGACAUAUCCUCAAUUUAACCUUGAGGACAAGGUUCUUCGCAGGGGGAUGGAUUGAUAAGAAGUAGCAGAGUACGUGGAGGAAGUGUUGCAUGGCUCAAGGAGCUGAAUACGUGGAAGCAGCUGAGUUCGUGGACUGCUAUUGUUUUGGGUUUUAUCAUUGUUUUUAUCGCCAAGUUGAAUUAGUCAAAUAAUCAAAGUGGUGGAAGUAGGAAUGCUAAUCGCAAUCCUGGUCUUCAGCUCCACUUCGGGAAUCCCUGUUAUUUCGAAUUAUUGUUAUUUUGGGUGGCCUAUUUAGGCUCACAAACUCUGUAUGGAAGGAUACCAUUGAAUUAAUAAAACAAUCUUUCCUUUCUCUCCUCUGUUCCUUCCUUAUCUCUUGUCCCAAAUUCUCUUCUUAUCACACAACUCAGCCUUCAUGGUGCCCAUCGUGACCCACUUGCAUGCUAGAGAUUUAUUGUCUCAUCGAAUAAUUUGAGAGGAUCAUUCAUUACUCCCUGUCUAACUGUUAAAAACAUUCGGUGUCAGUUGUUGAAAGGAUCAAGCUGCCUUUUGUAAACCAAAAUGUCCACUAGUCUUGUUGUAGGAAAUUUUCCUCUCUUCUUCUUUUUUUCUAGAAGGGAUCGGUUUUCUUCUAAACAAAAUGUUUCCCCAUUGUACUAGUCAUUGCCUCUAAGUGUGCUCUAUCAACGACUUAAACAAAUAAUAGUUUUGAGUAACAAUUCUCUCAUUUCUCUUAUUUUCAGUUUGGUGAAGGAAUAUUUGUCUAGAAUGAAUCUUGAAAUCUUGAUCUUGCAUUUUGAAAACAAAAAUUGUUUCGAUGUGAGUUAAAACAAUUUGCUUUUGAAAUCUUGUAACUCCUUGGUUAUAUUUCCUGGAAAAGAGAUGACUUGCUCUUGUGUUGGCGAUAUUGUCAUUGGUGAAAGUACGUGAUGAGGUGACCUUUUUUUAUGGGUUUUCAAAGUGAAGGGCUCAAGAAAAAGCUCAAAGUUUUGUUUGAGAAAAAUUUGUCUCUUUUUGAACACUUAUUUUAUCAGCAUGAAUAAUAAUGAGUAGCUUGUUCUCGAUGCCAUAACUCUUAUGAAAAAGUACUCGUUACAUUUUGAGAGCAUUAUGUAUUGUUCUAAGUUGCUUGCUUGCUUGAUUAGAAAAGACUUCUACAGGUACGUAACGUAAGCUGUGAUUUUUUACUAUGAAAGAAAAUAAUUCAUAAGACUCAAAGAGUGUUUCAAGGUUUCAAAAACUAAGGAUCAAUAUCAACAGUUUGACUUUUUGUGUCUUUUAUCUCUCUCUUUUUUUCUACUCUUCUUUGAUAUGCCCCUUUUCAUUGUUAUGGUCAGGCAUACUCACUUUGUUUAGGCUAUUAGUUUUUCUUGUGAUUUGGGCAUGCCCCCUAGCAUUUGAGUUUCUUAGGCUCUUUUGCCUUUUCGGCUUUCUCACAGCUUUUUCCUCUUUUUUAUCAUUGAAAUUUUCGCUUGCUCCUAGUAUGAGGUGUGAUCAUAGUCAAGAUUUUCAUGAAACAAAAAUUUAUUCAGGCUAAAAAGGAACCACAAGGGAUAUAUUUAUUUUAGAACGUAAAAUGAAUAACAAAGAUGAUCUAUUCUCAUUUCAAGCUCAAGCAGUUAAGAUCAAUAAACUUUGACCUCGUCUAGUGUGAUGAUUUGAUCUUUGCAAAGGGAUGCAUUUCAUGAGACUAUGAACAACGAGUCCACUACAUACCACUAUGCAUAUAUUCAAAACACAUGGCUCAAGAGUCAUGGUGUGAGGGUGACAAUUUAUUUUUUAUUCAUGCACUUUGGUUUAAAGAUAAAAAACCAAUAAGAAAAGAGAAGGUAACAUAGUACAAGAAAUUAGAAAGUUUCUCCCUUUUUUUACACUUCGGUCAUUGAAAAAAUAAAAGAUAAAAAACCAAUCCAAGACUCAAAGAUUCCAAUUAAACCAUACCCAUUUACUUCAUCACUCACUAAACAGAAAAAUAUUCAAAUUCCAAUCUUUACUUGUCCAUUAUGACCCUCAGGUAGAUAAAACACUCUUUCUCCAUGCUUGGGAACAUCCACAAGUGGAACUACACAUGCCUUCCAUAACUCUAUAUUAUCCUAGAACCAAAAACUUGAAGAAUCGUGCUUUCAAAAUAGAGACUUGCGAGAGAAGAAAAAUGGGAGACAGCCAGAGAGGCAGAAGCGGGGUUGACUAUGAAAAGGGCUUUGGGGGACAUCGAGAGAGAAAGGGUUGAGAGGAGGAAGGGGGUGUAGGUUGUGAGAGUGAAUUUUUGGAUUUGAGUUUUUAGACACUUUUCUAUUUAUACUUCUGUUAAGUUAAUAAUAUUUUUAAGUUUUGGGUUCAACAAUUCUGGUUUGGUCUAGUUUAAUCGGUUUUAGGUUUUUUAAACCAAAACUAAACAGAAUUGAUUUUUUUUUGUUUUCUAAUAGGUGUAUUUUUGUUUGGUUUUUUUGGUUUUAUUUUUUGUUUUUUUAGUUUAAUAAGUUUUUUUGUUUUUUUUCUCAUCCAUAAUUAAAAUACUAUCCAUUCACUACGCAUUUUUUUUAAGUUUUCUACGUAGCUCUGGUUAAUAUUUGCGAUUGAGUUCCUAGUUUUAAUAAUCUUUGCAUUUAAGUAACAAUAUUUCAUUAUAUUCUUGUUUUUAUCUCUAAAUAGUUGUAAGAGAAACGAAAGGAGAGGAAAAUACUCCAAUUAAGGUAUUUUCCAAUCAUGAAAUUGUUAAACUUUGUUUUCAUGUGUUCAAUUGACAAUCCUUAACAUGACUGAAGAAAAAAGAUCAAGACUUCAAUAAUAUAUUGAGGUUUUUUUUUUAUUUGGUUGGAUUUUUAAAGUUUUUUUGCCAAUUAAGAUGUAUUUUGAGAUUGAAAAUGAGUUUAUAGAGGUUGUUAGCAUAAUGUUUUGGUGUGUAGAGGGGAAAAUGAAAGAUUUGGAUCUGUAUAACCAAAACUAUAGUAUCAUAAUUUUCUAGCAACCAAACGGUUAUUGAAAAUAUUAAUUGGUCAAAAAGUUUUGGGAAAACUAAUAGUUAUUUUUUUGUUUACCUUCAUUCUUUUGGAAAUUAUAAUUUACAUUUUAAAUUUAUGAGUUCAUAACACUUUAUAGCACGCUAAAAAAUCAACAAAAAUUAUAAAAUAUUUACGAGAUUAUCACUAUAUUUCAUUUAAGGACAAAAAAAACUCUUGUAGUGUUAAAAUUAAUAAGUUGCCAUAAUGUUUUUUCUAAAAAAAAAUAGCUACUUGACACGAUCAAAGAGUUGAUGUCUUAUCCCAAGUGCAGGAGUGUCACAGUAAUAAAUAACCCAGCAAGACCGGGGUCGAACCACAGAGAGGUUAAUUGUAUAAAUUAUAAUUAAUAAAACAACAACAAUAAUAACAACAAUAAUAGUAAUAGUAAUAAUAAAAUUAAUAGUAAUAGUAAUAAUAACAAUACUCAGUACGUGGCGUUGUUAUACCUGAGAAUGAUCUCAAAGAUCGGGUCACAGGUUUCCAGCCUAUAUACUGAGUUUAUGAAAAGAUCAAAGAGAUAUAUUAUAUAAUAUAAACAGAUUUCUGAUGCGAAUGAACAAGGCAAGACCAACAAUGUCAGGAUCCUUGAUCAAACACAGAGCAUACUUAAAGUACAUAAAAUAUAACACGAAUAAUACAAACAACAACAAGAAUAAUAAUAAUAAUAAUAAUAAUAAUAGCAAUAUUAGUAGUAGUAGUAGUAGUAGUAGUAGUACUAAUAAUAAUAAAGAAGAAGAGGAAGAAAUUAAUGAGAACUUUGAGAUGGAAGAUUAAUGUAAAGAUUAAACAAUGAUAAAAACAAAUGUCAAGGUUAGAGGAUCCACUAAUAGUAUUAGAUAUAAGUAAAGUAUAAACUCUUUAUAAAUUAUCAACAUAAUCAUAUUAAUCAUCUUAUUUACGUAACACCAUACUUAUAAAUUUUAUCAGGUAUUCAUGAUGCUAACUUAUGUUGACAACAAAUCAAGUUCCUCUCAUAAUAACGAUGUCGGCCGAAGACUAUGAAGGAUCAAGUAUUUGAUGUACCAAGUGUUAUACAACACAAAUCUAGAUUAACCAUUUAACAAGCAAGGUAUUAAGGAUUAAUAAGAUAAAAAUGAUAAGACAUGUUAAUAGCAAACUUGUUUAGGAUUUAAGCAUUGAAGUCCAUGUUGAGUUCAUAUUAUACUUAUUCUAACACCAUUAGUGAAACCUUGUCACCUUGACAUAAUUAACUUAGCUAGACAUUAUGAAGAAGAAAAACAUAAAUAAACAAUAUAAGAACAUAAACAUGAUAUAAGUUAACUAAGUAUAGUAAAGGAAAUGAAAAGCAUGAACAAGAGAUUAAUGAAAAUAAAACUUAAGCAUUACAACAAUAAAGAGAGAGCAAGAACAUGAUCUUGAUCUUAGAACCAAGCUUUUUAAAUGAAUGGCAAAUGCCUCCUUUUAUAGGCUAAAAUUCAGAACUAUUCAUUUGGUAAUUGAUUAUUGAUGUAGUGGCCAACUAUUGAUUUAGUGGACUUGGUGGACAGCAGCACUCAAGCACUUUGGCUGGAUGAAAUGACAUUGAUCCAUUCAGAAUUUGGCAAAGUGUUCCUCAUGAAAGUUGUUGGCAAUCAUCUUAUCUUUUUACCCAUAAAAUGUCAGAUCAUUUGGAUCACUAGAGCUCGAGAUAUGGCUAAAAUACUGAGUAGUGCUGUUGGUGGACGUGGUGGAUAGACCUCAAGCUCUUGUCUGGACGAAAUGUCAUUGUUAACAUCCGAAUUUGAGAAAACAUUCUUCAUGAAAGUUGUUGGAAAUGGUCUUUUCCUUCCACCCACCAAAUUUCACGUCAUUGGGCCUUCUAGAACUCCAGAUAUGGGUAAAAUGCUAAGCAGUGUUUGGGCUGGAUUACAGGACAGAUUCUGACUUCUCUUUUGUGGCCAAACUUUGAAUUUGAAAACGGCAGAUUUGGGUCUUACACUAUUCAUGAACAUUGUAGGCCUAUUUCGUAGCUUUCCAUCCAUAUAAAUUAAGCUGAAAUCCAAGAUCUACAGCUCCAGAUAUGACCCAAUAACUGAACAGUGUUCCAAUUUGAAUUGAAUCGGUAUCUCCUUUCUAAUCUUAGCCGUUUCUUUGUCCUUUCACUUUCAAUAGUUAAUCACAUCAAUCAAUCCUUUGAAUUGUGAGAUAUGCCUGCAUUUAAAAUGAACAUUUACCAUAAAUUAAAGCUAUCUUAUAUUAUCAGAUCUAUUAUUAUAAAACAUGCUCUAGUUAAGGAGUUAUUAAUACUUCAAGUGCAAAAUGAUGAUAUGAAACCUUGAUAAAAAUGCACUUUUAAGUACUAAUCACACCCCCCAACCAGCUUAUUACUAGUUCCUAGUAAUCAAAGCGUUAAAAUAGAAAAACAAUUUGCAAGUUCCACAAAGCAAGGCAUUCAUCAUUUAACUUCCAUUAAUCUAUCCAAGUAAACAAACUCUCACUAAAUUUAUAUAUCUGCUCAAUACCUUUUAAACAAAAUAUUAAUAAACCUUCCUUUUUAUGUGCUCAAUAUAUGAAAACAUAGAUGAUGGGGCUUUUAUUGGAAGAAAACAAGAUUUUUGUUCUAAUGUUUCAGGUUAACUUCCUUGGGUUGGGAUUAUUAUUUUUUUAUAUUUAUACACAUAUGACUUAAAACAGAAUGCUGUUUUAACCCAUGUAACGAGCUUUCGGCUAAUGACUCCCAGACCAGUUGGUCUUAGGGCAUUAGGUGUUGAGACACCCCUUCGAGCUUAAUAACUCGGGUUGCAGAUACUGAUACGUAGAUAGUGCAAUGUUUGAUUCCCUUAAGCUUUUCUCCUUAACCCAUGUAACAAGCUUUGGGCCAAUAGCUCCCAAGUCAGUUGACUUUAGGGUAUUAGGUAUUAAAACACCCCUUCGGGCUUAAUUGCUUAGAUUAUGGAGGCUACGAAACCAAACUUAUCUACGUUUUUUUUUUUAUUAUAUAUACUUUUUUUUUGUUUUUUUUUUUUAUACUAUCCCUUUUCCUUAGUUGUUACCUUUAACAAAAGAACAUAAAUAAUGUAAUAAUCCAAUAUGCAACCCACAAUCAUAUGUUAAAGUGUGUGUGUGAAAAUGAAGGUUUACGAAUACUUGUUAAAUAAGUACAUAAGCAGAGUCAAGUGAUAACAAUGCGAGAGUUUGUAAACCUGAAUAUUUCAAGGAGUGUAAUAAUAGACCUUGUUAUGAAUAUUUACUAAGAUGCGUCUCAAGAGUCAAUACUCAUUACUUUGCCAUCUUAAUAACAGUUUUGCAAAUAGUUUAUGAAAAAGAAAACACAUUAAGUUUUUUUUUUUUUUAAUAUCAACUACUACCCUUUCCCCCCAACCAAAAUCAGACAUUGUCCUUAAUGUCCUAAGGUAGAAAGAUAGAGUAUAGAAGACAUCACCUGAAACAACGAAACUGACAAACCUGAAACACACUUAAACAAAUAUAAGAAAUAACAAAACAAAAUAAUAAGAUAUUAAUAAAACCAAAAGACACAAGGUUUCACAAACGAAGGCUCAAAUCCAAUCUAAGCUUUUUACGGCUUUUCUCAGUUGACCAAUGUAUGCGACUCAUAGAGGGAUCAAUGAUAGGGAUGAAAGAUUGUAGUUGGUCAAUCAAUUGUUCAGCAGUAGCAGCAGAGAUUAUGAUUCGUCGUGCCGAAGAUGUUAGAAAUUCCUGUUCCACAGCUUGAUCAAGAAAAGACAACAAUUUAUCGUAAAAACCAUUAACAUUUAACAAACCUAUAGGUUUAUGGUGAAUGUGCAGUUGGGCCCAAGAAGAAAUAUGAAAGAUCUCUUCCAAUGUGCCCAGACCACCUGGUAAGGCAAUGAAGGCAUCAGCAUGUUUAAACAUUGUAUUCAAUCGUUCAGACAUUGUGGAGACAUGUAGUUCCUCUCCAAUUGUUUUUCAAGGAGGUCCUUUUUUGCUAAAACUUUGGGGACGACCCCCAAAACUUGACUGCCUCCUAAAAAUGCAGCUAUUGACACACCUCCCAUUAACCCAAGGCUGCCUCCGCCAUACACUAAAUGAAUCUUUCUCUCAGCUAAUACCUGACCAAGAUGAUUUGCUGAUUCUAAAAACUCUAUUUCUUUCCCAGGACUAGAUCCACCGAAAACACAAAUAUUUCUUAUUUGAUGACUCGAGGAACCUGCCAUUUCUACACACUUCGAUAUCUGUUGAAUGUGUGGGUUGAGUAGAAAUAAAGGGAAGGAAGAGAAGAAUUUAUAGAUGAGAAAUUGAAAAUGCAAUCAUACCACCUAUAUGUAGGCCAGCUGGAGCCUCUCUCUCUUUAUUAUUAUUUUUUAUUUUUUGAUUUUUAUAUUUUAAAAAUAUGUAUGUACAAGCAGUUGUGAUUGUGGCUCACAUCUUCCCUUGGUUUUACGUCCAAGAACGGCUUAAACGCCCUCUAUGGGUCGGGGAUAUGCUUCCCAUCCAAUUUUCUUAAAAACUGACAAACAGGGUCUUUUUUAGUCAGAUUCCCAAGACUAUGUCGAGCAUGUUCUUUAUGGAAUUGUGGCCAUAAAUCAUGAAUUGCACGAUGCACAUCUCCACUAGGGUACGUCUCAAGAGUCAAUAGAACAUUAUCUAAAGACUCCUUACUCAGGCCAUCCUUAAUGAACUGGAUUUUAUCUUCACGAUUUACAAAUACCAUUCCUAAAGAACGACAUUUUGCAUUACAAGUCCAUCUGGCACAUCUGUGACAGACUUGCAAUCGUUUUGCACGACGUUUCUUUGCAAAAGUGCUUUUACCUGUUCCAGGCAUGUAUGAAAUGAAAGAAUUGGAGGACUCACCUGAUAAUCGGACCUUUGCUUCAAUUAGCCAACGAAUAUCUUCAGGAAUUCCAUGGUUCAUUAACAAUCGCAAUCUUGCACAUCUAGCACGGUAAAUUUUUGUAAUCGCAUUCUGAGGUAGAGCAGGAAAAUACUUUUUCAAUUUUUCAAGAGUGGUGUCCAUUUUUUUCUAGAUGAGAAGUGGAAAAGAGAUGCAAAGAAAGGAGAAACAACAAAGAAUUGCACAAAUAUAUACACAGAUAUCAGUUAUCAUGGGAAACUGAAAGAACCGACUUUAAGAGUCACGGAGUACCGUUAUCCGCCAUUUGACCGGGGUAAGAGAAACUAGCAAAACAAAAGUCACACAAAAAGAAACACAAAAACAAUGUGAGAAAAAGAAUCAAUCUUUAUAUACAAGAUCACCCAAUUCAAUAGAGUCAUUUUCAACUGAAAAAUUGUCAAAGUAAACUUUCAAACGAUGUCCAUUUACCUUGAAAACAUUACCAUUCUUUGGAUUCUCGAUAUCACAGGCCCUAUAUGGAUACACAUGUUUCACAAUAAAAGGACCACUCCAUCUUGAUCUUAGUUUUCCAGGAAAUAAAUGGAGUCGAGAAUUAUAAAGCAAGACUUUUUGACCAACAUUGAAUGUUUUUCUAAGUAUUUUCUUGUCAUGAAACUCUUUGAUUCUUGCUUUAUGAAUUCUUGAAUUUUCAUAUGCAUCAUUUCUUAUUUCCUCAAGCUCAUUUAUUUGUAAUUUUCGCAGCUGACUAGCAUCAUCAAGAUUUGAAUUGAAAGCUUUAAUAGCCCAAUAAGCUUUAUGUUCAAGUUCCACAGGCAAGUGACAAGGUUUUCCAUAGACUAGUCUAUAAGGUGACAUACCUAAUGAUGUUUUAUAAGCAGUUUGAUAAGCCCAAAGUGCAUCAUUAAGUCUUAAAGACCAAUCUUUCCUAUUAGGGUUCACUGUUUUCUCCAAGAUCUGUUUGAUCUCCCUAUUAGCAAGUUCUACUUGUCCACUUGUCUGAGGGUGAUAAGGGGUGGCAACUUUGUGUGUGAUUCCAUAUUUCUUCAUUAAAGACUCAAAUGACUUGUUGCAGAAAUGUGUUCCACCAUCACUUAUCAUGGCUCGAGGAAUUCCAAAUCGACUCAAGAUAUUUUCUUUCAAAAACUUGAUCACUGUUUUGUGAUCAUUAUUUCGACUUGGAAUUGCCUCUAUCCAUUUUGAAACAUAAUCUACUGCGACCAAUAUGUACAUAAAACCAAAUGAAGGAGGAAAUGGACCCAUGAAAUCUAUACCCCAACAGUCAAAUAUUUCAAUGACAAGGAUAGGAUUUAAAGGCAUCAUGUGACGUUUUGAAAUAGACCCCAACUUUUGACAAUUUUCACAAGUUUUGCAGAAUGCAUGCGUGUCUUUGAACAUGGUGGGCCAGUAAAAUCCACUUUGUAAGAUUUUUGCAGUUGUCUUCUUCGAUAAGAAAUGACCCCCACAUGCCUCAGAAUGACAAAACUUAAUGACACUACUUACCUCAUUGUCAGGAAUGCAUCUUCGAAAUAUUUGAUCAGGACAAUAUUUGAAUAAAUAAGGGUCAUCCCAAUAAAAGUUCUUCACUUCGUUCAAGAACUUUCUUUUGUCUUGGGUGCUCCAAUGAGCUGGCAAAUAUCCUGAAACAAGAAAAUUAACAAUAUUAGCAAACUAAGGCAUUGUAGAGACAGAAAAUAAAGAUUCAUCAGGAAAGUAGUCAUCGAUUAGUGUGAUGUCGGAUCUCGAAUCUGUUGUUAAUCUUGACAAAUGAUCCGCGACAACAUUUUCGGUGCCUUUCUUGUCUUUGAUUGUGAUAUCAAAUUCUUGAAGUAACAAAAUCCAUCGUACUAAUCUAGCCUUAGAAUCCUUUUUUGAAAGAAGAUAUUUCAAAGCUGCAUGAUCACUAAAAACAACAACAGGUGAGCCAACAAGAUAAGAUCUGAACUUGUCACAUGCAAAUACUACUGCAAGUAAUUCCUUUUCAGUGGUAGUGUAAUUCAUUUGAGCACUAUUUAAAGUUUUACUUGCAUAGUAAAUCACAUAGGGUUUCUUAUCUUUUCUUUGUCCUAAGACAGCACCUACGGCAUAAUCACUAGCAUCACACAUUAUUUCAAAAGGUAAUGACCAAUCAGGAGGUUGAAUGACAGGAGCAGAAGUAAGCAAGUUUUUAAGUUUAACAAAGGCUUUUUCGCAUUGUUCAGUCCAUUCAAAAACAUUCUCCUUUGUUAGAAGGUUACACAAUGGCUUAGAUAUGACACUAAAAUCUUUGAUGAACCUUCUAUAAAAACCAGCAUGUCCUAAGAAUGAUCUAACAUCUUUAACAGAUUUUGGUGUUGGUAAGUUGGCAAUUAACUCAAUUUUAGAUUUGUCAACCUCAAUUCCUUUUGAUGAAACAAUGUGACCAAGUACAAUGCCGUUUGUUACCAUAAAAUGACAUUUUUCCCAAUUGAGCACAAGAUUCUUCUCUUCACACCUGCUCAAAACCUUUUCUAGGUUAGUCAAACAAUCAUCAAAUGAAUCGCCAAAAACAGAAAAAUCAUCCAUAAAAAUUUCAAGAAAACGUUCAACCAUAUCACUGAAUAUGCUAAGCAUGCAUCUUUGAAACGUGGCUGGUGCAUUACAUAAACCAAAAGGCAUCCUUCUAUAUGCAAAAGUACCAAAUGGACAUGUGAAAGUAGUCUUCUCUUGAUCUUCCAAUGCAAUUUCAAUUUGAUUAUAACCUGAAUAGCCAUCUAGGAAACAAUAAAAUUCAUGACCUGCAACUCUUUCUAGGAUUUGAUCCAUGAAAGGUAAAGGGAAAUGAUCUUUACUAGUCAUUGAAUUAAGUUUUCUAUAGUCAAUGCACAUCCGCCAACCAGUAAUGGUUCUAGUUGGAAUUAACUCAUUUUUCUCAUUUGUCAUCACAGUGACUCCAGACUUCUUGGGUACAACUUGGGUAGGACUUACCCAUUUGCUGUCAGAAAUAGGAUAAAUGAUUCCAUUAUCAAGAAGCUUAAUGACUUCAUUUCUCACUACUUCUUUCAUAUUAGGAUUAAGCCUUCGUUGCAUUUCUCUAGAGGGUUUAGCAUUUUCCUCUAAAUAAAUCUUGUGUGUGCAAAUCAAAGGACUAAUUCCUUUUAUGUCAGCUAUGGUCCAUCCUAAUGCAUUUUUGUGCAUUUUCAGAGUUUGUAAUAACUUACCUUCUUGAUGUGCAUUAAGUUUGGAAGAAAUUAUUACCGGAAAAGUUUCAUUUUCUCCCAAAAAUGAGUAUUUGAGAUUGAAUGGUAACGGCUUCAAAUCAGGUUUUGGAGGUUGAACACUGGAAGGUAUGGACUCAAUCGAUUGUGAUGGCAAUUCCUCAAUUUGUGGUCUCCAAUUACUUGCCUUUGAUUCUUCCUGAAAAUAAAUCAUUUGCAAAUUCUCAGAUUCAUUAAACUCAAUUUCACUGGAAAUAGUUUCAAAUUGAUCAUGAACUAAUUUUUCAAUAAAGUCCACUUCCUGUAAAUCAGUAUUAUCUCCAGGUUGCUUGCAAAUGUUGAAAAUAUUCAUCUCCAAUGUCAUGUUUCCAAAUGACAACUUCAUUAGUCCAUUCCUACAAUUAAUCAAUGCAUUAGAAGUUGCAAGAAACGGACGUCCUAAAAUAACAGGAAUUGAAUUACAUGCUUCAACAGGUUGUGUAUCCAAGACAAUAAAAUCCACAGGAUAAAUGAAUUUAUCAACUUGAACUAACACAUCUUCAACUAUUCCUCUAGGUACUUUUACAGAUCUAUCGGCAAGUAAAAGAGUUACAGAAGUUGGUUUUAACUCACCAAGAUCAAGUAAAGCUCUUUCAAUUUUAUGUUCUCCAAUAAAGCAAGAAAUUGUAGGACAACCAGGGUCUUUAUACUUCAAAGCAUUAUUGUUCUGAAGAAUGGCACUUACUUGUUCAGCUAAAAAGGCUUUCUUUUUCACAUUCAGUUUUCUCUUCACAGUGCACAGAUCUUUUAAAAAUUUAGCAUAAGAAGGUACCUGUUUAAUAGCAUCUAACAAAGGAAUAUUGAUCCUUACCUGUUUGAAAGUUUCAAAGAUUUCAGAGUUGUGAUUGACUUUCCUUUGUUUGGUCAUGGCAUGAGGAAAUGGAAGUGCUGGCGGGAAAUCAGUCUUUUCUUUGCAAUGUUCAGAUUCAACCCCUUCCUUACCCUUGGAGAUUAACUCAUCUUUCUCACAAGGUUCAAGAGUGGGUUUUUCAAUAACCUUACCACUGCGAAGAGUGAUGACUGAUUUGACUUGAUCCAUGUGUUGGCUUCCAGAACUACUUGCGUUUGCAUUGUAUUGCCCCUUGGGAUUUUGCUGUGGUUGAGAUGGAAACUUACCUUUUUCUUGAAAACUCAGAGCAGAUGUGAAUUUUGCAAGAGCAUCUUUUAAAUCUGCCAUGGUUUGAGCAUUUUGAGUGUUGAUUGUCUCCUGCUUUUCAAUGAAUGCAUGCAAUGUUUCCUCAAGAUUUCUUCUAGGAGGUGGAGCAUAAGGAGGUGCAUAUCCAUGAGAAUUUUGGAAAUUAUGGGGUGCUUGAAACGGUGGUUGUGAAGUUUGUGCAUUAUUGUUACCACUCUUCCAACUGAAAUUUGGGUGAUUUCUCCAACCAGGGUUGUAUGUUUGCGAAUAUGGGUUAUGACUGGGCCUUUGGAAACUGUUUAAAACAUGGGCUUGUUCAUGGAGGCAUUCCUUGAAAGAAGGCAAAGUUGGACAGUCAUUGGUUGCAUGUUCAUUGGUUUCACAGAUUUGACACACAAUGUCUUGAACAGAUUUUAAUUGACCAUUCUUUUUAAAUUCAAGUGCCUCAACUUUUCUAGCUAAAGAUGCAAAUUUAGCUUGGAGGUCAUGAUCUUCCCUAAGGUUGUACAUACCUCCACUAGAUGUAUGAGGUUGAGUUUUACCUGGUGCCUCAUAAGUGCCUGUAGUGUCCCAAUUUUGAGCAUUUUCGGCUAGCAAGUCUAGGUACUCCAUUGCUUCAUCAGGGUCUUUAUUUUCAAAAGUUCCGUUACACAUCAAUUCCACCAUUUGCCUAUCUUUAGGUGUUAAUCCUUCAUAAAAAUGUGAAACCAAUCUCCAUGUUUCAAAACCAUGAUGAGGGCAAGUAUUAAGCAAAUCUCGAUACCUAUCCCAACAUUGAUAAAAUGUUUCUCCUGGUUUUUGAGUGAAAGUGGUAAUUUGUCUUUUGAAAGAGUUUGUUCUGUGAGAUGGAAAAAAAUUCUUUAAAAAUUGUUGUUGCAUUUCAUCCCAAGCACGAAUGGAUCCUGACCUAAGAUUCUGUAGCCAUGUUUUAGCUUUAUCUUUUAAUGAAAAAGGAAAAAGCUUUAAUCUGAUGGUGUUCAUGCUACAAUUUAAGUCAUUAUAGGUAUUACAAACUUCUUCAAAUUCUCGCAAAUGCAAGUAUGGAUUUUCUAGAUCUAAGCCAUGAAAAGAAGGUAAAAGUUGAAUAAUGCCUGGCUUAAAAUUAAAGUGAGAUGCAUCAGGAGGAAAAACUAUACAUGAGGGUGCACUUGUUCUUGUUGGAUUCAUGUGGUCUCUUAGUGUUCUCACUCGAUUAUUCUCAUUAUUCUCAUUAUGAAGUGAUUGGUUAUCUUCUUCAGCCAUAUUUUCUGGAAAUAAUGAGGAUACCCUACAAAGUCUACCACUUAAUGUACGUGACCAAACUCUCUCCCCGGCAACGGCGCCAAAAACUUGACACGAUCAAAGAGUUGAUGUCUUAUCCCAAGUGCAGGAGUGUCACAGUAAUAAAUAACCCAGCAAGACCGGGGUCGAACCACAGAGAGGUUAAUUGUAUAAAUUAUAAUUAAUAAAACAACAACAAUAAUAACAACAAUAAUAGUAAUAGUAAUAAUAAAAUUAAUAGUAAUAGUAAUAAUAACAAUACUCAGUACGUGGCGUUGUUAUACCUGAGAAUGAUCUCAAAGAUCGAGUCACAGGUUUCCAGCCUAUAUACUGAGUUUAUGAAAAGAUCAAAGAGAUAUAUUAUAUAAUAUAAACAGAUUUCUGAUGCGAAUGAACAAGGCAAGACCAACAAUGUCAGGAUCCUUGAUCAAACACAGAGCAUACUUAAAGUACAUAAAAUAUAACACGAAUAAUACAAACAACAACAAGAAUAAUAAUAAUAAUAAUAAUAAUAAUAGCAAUAUUAGUAGUAGUAGUAGUAGUAGUAGUAGUACUAAUAAUAAUAAAGAAGAAGAGGAAGAAAUUAAUGAGAACUUUGAGAUGGAAGAUUAAUGUAAAGAUUAAACAAUGAUAAAAACAAAUGUCAAGGUUAGAGGAUUGACACGACCAAAAGAUUGAUGUCUUCUCCCAAGUGCAGGAGUGUCGAAGUAAUAAAUAACCCGGCAAGACCGGGGUCGAACCACAGGGAGGUUAAUUGUAUAAAUUAUAGAUAACAAUAAUACAACAACAACAAUAAUAAUAAUAGUGAAGAAGAAGAGGAAGAAGUUGAUGAGGACUUUGAGAUGGAAGAUUAAGGUAAGGAUUAAACAAUGAUAACAACAAAUGUCAAGGUUAGAGGAUCCACUAAUGGUAUUUCAAACAAGUAUAGUAUAAACUCUUUUUAUUCAAUUGGAAACCCCACACAAAGGAGGUUCCAAUCAGAUUAUAAAUUGUUAACAUGAUUACAUUAGUUAUCUUAUUCGAAUAAUGCUAAUACUUGUAAAUGUUGUCAGGCAUUCAUGAUUAUAACUUAUGUUAACAACAAAUCAAGUUCCUUUCAUAGCUCAGGUGUCGGUUAUACCAUACAGUAUGGGCUAUGAAAGUGCCAAGUAUUUGUUGUACCAAGUGUUAUACAACAUAAAUCUAGAUUAACCAUUUAACAAGCAAAGUAUUAAAAAGUGAACAAGAUAACAAAUAUAAAGCGUGUUAUUAUCCAACAUUAAGGUCCAUGUUAAGUUUAUAUUAUACUUAUUCUUACACCAUUAGUGUACCCUUUUCACCUUGACAUAAUUAACUUAGCAACACAUAAUGAAAGAAAGAAACAUAAAUAAACAAGGAAAGGAAAUGAAAAGCAUAAGCAAGAAAUUAAUAUAAGCAAAACUUAAGCAUUACAAAAGAUAAAGAGAGAGCAAGAGCAUGAUCUUGAUCUGAACACCAAGAUGCCUAAAUACAUGGCAAAUGCCUCCUUUUAUAGGCCAAAAUUCGGAACUAUUGAUUUGUUGACUAAUUGAUGAGUGGGUGGCCACAUCUUGACUUGGUGACAAUUCUUAUCUUCUUGUCUGCCAAAAACGUCAUUGAUGAUGUCAUAAUUUGAACAAACUUAAAUCAUAAAAGUUCUAGGGAAUUGUCUCAUCUUUCCAGGAUAAAAAUUUGAGAUCAUUUGGACUUCUAGAACUCGAGAUAUGGGCUGAACACUGAACAGUGUCUGGGUUGCAGGACAGAUUCGGGCUUCUUCAUUGUUGCUACAAUUUGGACUCGAAAACGGCCUUAUUAAAUCUUGGGCUCCGCAUGAAAGUUGUAGACCUAUGUCUUACCUUUCCAUCCAUAUAAAGUAGACCUAAAUCCGAGAUCUACAGCUCCAGAUAUAGCCCGAUUACCGAACAAUGUUCCAGUUUGGACUGCACCAACAUCUCUUUUCUAAGUUUGGCCAUCUCUUUGUCCUUUCAAUUUCAGUACUUCAACUCAUCAAUCAAUUCUUUCAUUUAUGUGAUAGGCAUGCAUUUAAGAUGAACAUUUACCAUAAAUUAAAGGUAUCUUAUAUUAUUAGAUACGUUAUUAUAAAACAUGCUUUAGUUAAGGAGUUAUUGAUACUUCAAGUGCAAAAUAAUGAUAUAAAACCUUGAUAAAAAUGCACUUUUAAGUACUAAUCAAGGAUCCACUAAUAGUAUUAGAUAUAAGUAAAGUAUAAACUCUUUAUAAAUUAUCAACAUAAUCAUAUUAAUCAUCUUAUUUACGUAACACCAUACUUAUAAAUUUUAUCAGGUAUUCAUGAUGCUAACUUAUGUUGACAACAAAUCAAGUUCCUCUCAUAAUAACGAUGUCGGCCGAAGACUAUGAAGGAUCAAGUAUUUGAUGUACCAAGUGUUAUACAACACAAAUCUAGAUUAACCAUUUAACAAGCAAGGUAUUAAGGAUUAAUAAGAUAAAAAUGAUAAGACAUGUUAAUAGCAAACUUGUUUAGGAUUUAAGCAUUGAAGUCCAUGUUGAGUUCAUAUUAUACUUAUUCUAACACCAUUAGUGAAACCUUGUCACCUUGACAUAAUUAACUUAGCUAGACAUUAUGAAGAAGAAAAACAUAAAUAAACAAUAUAAGAACAUAAACAUGAUAUAAGUUAACUAAGUAUAGUAAAGGAAAUGAAAAGCAUGAACAAGAGAUUAAUGAAAAUAAAACUUAAGCAUUACAACAAUAAAGAGAGAGCAAGAACAUGAUCUUGAUCUUAGAACCAAGCUUUUUAAAUGAAUGGCAAAUGCCUCCUUUUAUAGGCUAAAAUUCAGAACUAUUCAUUUGGUAAUUGAUUAUUGAUGUAGUGGCCAACUAUUGAUUUAGUGGACUUGGUGGACAGCAGCACUCAAGCACUUUGGCUGGAUGAAAUGACAUUGAUCCAUUCAGAAUUUGGCAACGUGUUCCUCAUGAAAGUUGUUGGCAAUCAUCUUAUCUUUUUACCCAUAAAAUUUCAGAUCAUUUGGAUCACUAGAGCUCGAGAUAUGGCUAAAAUACUGAGUAGUGCUGUUGGUGGACAUGGUGGAUAGACCUCAAGCUCUUGUCUGGAUGAAAUGUCAUUUUUACCAUCCGAAUUUGAGAAAACAUUCUUCAUGCAAGUUGUUGGAAAUGGUCUUUUCCUUCCACCCACCAAAUUUCACGUCAUUUGGCCUUCUAGAACUCCAGAUAUGGGUAAAAUGCUAAGCAGUGUUUGGGCUGGAUUACAGGACAGAUUCUGACUUCUCUUUUGUGGCCAAACUUUGAAUUUGAAAACGGCAGAUUUGGGUCUUACACUAUUCAUGAACAUUGUAGGCCUAUUUCGUAGCUUUCCAUCCAUAUAAAUUAAGCUGAAAUCCAAGAUCUACAGCUCCAGAUAUGACCCAAUAACUGAACAGUGUUCCAAUUUGAAUUGAAUCGGUAUCUCCUUUCUAAUCUUAGCCGUUUCUUUGUCCUUUCACUUUCAAUAGUUAAUCACAUCAAUCAAUCCUUUGAAUUGUGAGAUAUGCCUGCAUUUAAAAUGAACAUUUACCAUAAAUUAAAGCUAUCUUAUAUUAUCAGAUCUAUUAUUAUAAAACAUGCUCUAGUUAAGCAGUUAUUAAUACUUCAAGUGCAAAAUGAUGAUAUGAAACCUUGAUAUAAAUGCACUUUUAAGUACUAAUCACUACUAAAAAUCUUACUCUAGCUGCCACCUCUUCUUUCCUUUUCUUCUAGCCAUCACAACCACUUUACACCGAUCAUCUCCCUUGUCUCCUCCAUUUCAAGACUUGUUUUCAAUGUAGCAUAGCACUGCCACCUGACAUCCUUCUAAACAAGCACAACUACACCAACUAUCACUACAAGAUUUCACAAUUUUACCAACGGAAACUUUUCGUCGGUGUGAGAUUCAGACUCUAUCAGUAAAUGUUUUACCGACUAACUCUCCGACAAAUAGCAUCCGUCGGCAUCCCUUCCAUUGGUAAUACCACAUUUCAUCGCUAACGAUGUCGGUAAAAAAAAAGAUUGUCAAUGGUUUCACAGACGAAAAAUGCGCGCAUAAAAAAAACAAUUCCCAUUGGAAAUAUACCGACGGAUUUAUUCCGUCGGUGAUAGUGGCAUAUCUAGUAAAUAUUUUUCAGCUCCUGGUGAAAUGUCGACGGAAUAUAUCCGUCUGUAAAGUCGUCGAUGAGUGUGGCAUUUCAACCACUCUCUGUGAAAUGCCGACAGACUUUAUCCGUUUGUAAAGUCGUCAGUGAUUGUGGCAUUUGCACCAAGCUACUGUGAAAUGCCGACGGACGUUAUCCGUCUAUAAAUGCGUCAGUGAUGGUGGCAUUUCCCGCUCUCUGUCAAAUGCCGACGGAUACAUUCCAUCUAUAAAUCCCUCAGUGGGUAUUUUAAAAUUUGUUUUUAAAAAAUAUUAUCUAGACUAAAUAAUAUAAAAUUAUAUAAAUUAAUAGUAUAAAAAACCAAUUAUGCAAAUAAACUUUAUUAAACAUCAAAAACAAAAAAAAAAGUUCAAUAAUAUUCAUUACAAAUUGAAUGUGUUUCCAAAAAAAUAUUAAAUUAGCACAAUGGCGGAGCUGGAGGAGGAGGAGGCUAGUUGUUCCCAAGACCAUACGGCCAAAAAAGGGGCGCACAGGUAUCACCACUCUGUGAUGUGCAGUUCAUGACCAGUUGGCAAAGUUGUUAAUAAUUCGUCGAGAGUUGCUCAUAUUUCUCGGUGAGAUGUGCCAUGUGUUGUUCAUAAUUCGUCGAUAGUUGCUCGUAUUUCUCGGUGAGAUGAGCCGUGUAUUGCUGCAAGGCCGCGAACUCCUUAGAUUGGGUGCUCGAUACUGAUUGGGAGCUCCCAACGGUUGAGACACUACCGGCCGCCCGCAAGUUCUCGACCUUAGUGUUGGAGAGCUCGUACACCUGAUUUUUAUCGGGUCCACCAGACGUUCCUACCUCCAUCCAUAAAUCCGGAUCGAAAUCUGGAUGGGUCGAAGGAUCGUCCCCAUAUCUCUCCCUCAAUCGGCUAUUAUAGGUCUCCUAAAAAUGAAAAAAUAAAUCAUCAUAUUCAAUUCAAUAAAAAUAAUACUUACGAAAUAAAAUGGUUGAACGAACAUACCACAAAGUGUUGAGCGCGGUUGUCAACGAACUGUUGCACCCCCUUUUGGCGGUCUUCACUCCGCACGUGCGUCUCUACAAACAACUCCAUUGGGCUCGGCUCACGUCCAAGAGACGUAGCCUGUAAGAAAAAAAAUUAAUUAAGUAACAACAAAUUAUUUAAUGAUAUAUUUCAUUUAAAUUAAUCUUACCAUCCGUUUCGCAUGUGCAGUAAAUGGAACGGAGGUGCCAGUGUGCGUUGUCAGCGAACCAUGAAUUUGCCGGUUCCGGUUACCAACAACAAACCAUGAGCGUCGUGUGAACCGCUCAGACGUCACGUGCUCAAUAUAUUGCGGCCAAAUAUAUUUCGAGAUGUGUAGCGGUUUGAAAUCCCUCCAAACCGCCAUGUCGUUCCAGCUUUGGAGACCUCUAUCUCUCACAUUUGUUUUGGCCUUUUUUUGUGCUUCAUACCAAAAAUCACGCAACCUACUUCCAUAGUGACAAAUUAGAUUUAAAAACAUAAUUUUUUUAAAAAAAAUAUCUUAUUGUUUUUCUAUGUUACCUAGUUGUCGCGUGAUUUUCCCACACCCUCCUCACAACAUUAUCAUGCGUGCUGUCCCACUCAAAUUUGUGUUGUGUAUAAGUAAUUUAUUUAAAAUGAUAAUAAUAAUUUAUAAACAAUUAUAUUAAUAAUUUAUUAAAAAUAAGCUGGGAAGUAGAAAUUAACAUCAACCUCAAAUUUGUCAAACCAUGCAUCGAUAUUCGGUAUCCAUUCAGGAUGUCUAGAUACCUGACUCCAUUGAAAUAAUGGAAUCUCCAUCGAUGAUUUAAACAUUGAUGAUAUUACUCGAGCGGCCUCAAUGUUUGUGAACCUGAAAAUAAAUUAAAUUAAUGAAAUAUUGAUUAGUUGUUCAAAAAUUAUGUUAUAAUUUUUAAAAAAAACUAAAACCGAAACAAACUUACAUAGAAAGGUCUUCCUUCCAAUGUGCCUCGUACUUGCGGAUGAAUUCAUUUCGCUGUGAAGGCACACCGCCUCUACACUGUGAAACCGUGCUUGAAGAGGUAGCAUCGCGAGUCGCUGCAGGUGCCUCUUCUUGAUCGGCACCUAAAGACAUGUCAUCCUCACUGCUAGAAGAACUAGUUGCAACCCUAUGUGAGCGACGAGCUGUUGAUUUUGUUCUACGCAUCUACACAAUUUUAUACGAAUAAUUACAUAAUUAAAUUCGAUUGUUAAAAAAAAAAAUUUGACAGCACCUCCCCUACACUGGAGAGACUACCCAAAGUUUUCAAACCUGCAAAUAUUGACAAUAGCCACAACCAAUUGACCCCAUUCAAAAAUCUUGUAUAUAACCAAACAUCUAUACAAAUAACAAUUAAAAUUAAUGAAAAUAAUUAAACACAUAUCAUGCAAUAAUAGAGUAACAUUGAGAUAAAAUAAUUAAAAUUAAUCCAAUAUAUUCAAUUACUAAUUACAAGGUAAAUUCAACAAUAAAAAUUAAAAUUAAUGGAAAUACCUAAACACAUAUCAUGCAAUAAUAGAUUAAAAUUGAGAUAAAAUAAUUACAUUUAUUCCUAUAUAUUCAAUUACUAAUUACAAGGUAAGUUCAACAAUAAAAAUUAAAAUUAAUGGAAAUACCUAAACACAUAUCAUACAAUAAUAGAGUAAAAUUGAGAUAAAAUAAUUACAUUUAUUCCUAUAUAUUCAAUUACUAAUUACAAGGUAAAUUCAACAACAACAAAUAAAAUUCAACAAAGUGUUCAAUUAUUAUGGCAAUACAAACAACAAAAUAUAUUGAACAAAAAAAAACUAUAGACUUUAGGAAUGAAAAACGCUUACCUUAAUAAUGUGUUUAUUUCAAUACUUUAUCUACGUUAUAAAAAUACACCAAAACAAAAAACAUAACAAAAAUAGCAAUAGCUAAAACAAAUAACAAAAAAAAAAAUCUUGAAGAAAUGAAGUAGAGGAUAUACAUACCUUUUAAUUUGUUGAAGAUAUAGCUAGAUAUUAGAAUCAAGAAGAGGAGAUUUGAAGAAAUGAGAGGGAAAAAAGCAAAAAUGAGAUGAUGGAGAUGAAGAAAUGAACUAAAGAGGCAGUCGCUGGGAUUUAUACCACAGCUUUAACGACGGCCAAUUUAAAUAAUAUUAUUUUUAAUUAUUUCGUCGGUGAUGUUUCGAAAAUCCGUUGGUAAAUUUUGAAUUUCGCACCAGGAUUUUUCGCAAUCCGUCGGUAAUUUUGUCAGCAACGGCACGCAGUCAGAGAUGCAUUUAAUACCCGUCCUUUGAAAUUCGCUCCGUCCGUCAGUGAAUUUAUCGGUAAUGGUUAACUACCGACAAAGGCUGACGGACUGUAAUCCAUCUACAAAGUCAUCAGUGAUUGUGGCAUUUGCUACUUUGCAAUGCCGACGGACUAUAAUCCGUCCGCAAAGUCAUUGGUGAUGAUGGUGGCAUUUCCAGUGAAGCUACUGUGAAAUGUCGAUGGCCUAUAAUUCGUUUGCAAAGGCAUCGGCGAUGAUGGUGGCAUUUCCAGUGAAGCUAUUGUGAAAUGCCGACGGACGGUAAUCCGUCUGCAAAGUCGUCGGUGAUGAUGGUGGCAUUUACAGUGAAGCUACUGUGAAAUGCCGACAAACUGUAAUCCAUCGGUAUGGACGUCGGUGAUCGUGCACUGUGCAUGAAAGAUUAUAUUUGUAUUGCCUAUUUACCUUCCUGCAAACACUUAAAUUACAAACUGUCCGUCGCACAAAACAAUAACAACAGUUAACACUUAUAAAAUAAAUAUCUCGAAUUCCAAUAUAUCAUCCAUAAUAUAUAUUAUAUUAUAAAAAAAUACUUUACACUUUCUUUAAUUCUGAUAGUUAGUCAGAAAUUUGGACGUUGUCAAUCGAAUAGUCAUCAGCUCCAUCGCAAUCUUCAAUAUGAUAUCAUCAUCAUCUUCUUCAUUGACAUUUGCUUGUCCGCUAGAGCUCAAAACAACAUUCAACUCCUCUGUGUCAACAUCAACAAAACUAUCAUCGAAAACACGAAAAUUUGAAUUUUCUUCCAAGUCAAACGAAGGAGCAACUCGAUAUGGUUCAACCAAAUCACUAACUUGAAAGACUUCAUCUCGCACACUUGUGUCUUUGUUCUCAUCCUGAACAACCUCGACACGACCCCUGGGUUUCGUUUUUAAAACGGAUAACCAAUCAACUCUUAAUCGAUCCUUUCUAAAGGAAGGGGUGUAUGUGUAAUAAAUCUAGCUGCAUCUGCAUUAGGUUUUUCUUUUACAAUUGGACAUUGACUGACAUUACCUUGAUUCAUUCUCAUUGCAUCCAUAACCAUAUUCCUGUAAGGAUUACUGUUGUCAUUUACAACUCCAUACACGUUGCUAGCACUAGAAGUUGACCCAACCACCCUUUCUCCUAUUCUCUUAUUACGAACAAAUACUUCUCUGUGUGCAUACCAACAUAGGUAAUUUUCCAUGAACCCUUUGUGUAGAAGAUGCAUCAUUACAACAUUUGGAUGCAGAUACUUUUUAUUUUCACACUUCCUGCAUGGACACCUAAUACCGCCUCCAGUAAAAUUUCUGGGAAUAGAUGUUGCAAAAUUAAUAAAACCCUGAACCCCGUUACAAUAAUCCAUCAUCCACAAUCCUUUGGGUGAAUCCUGAUACAUCCAUGAACAAUCAUCCAUGACUUUUAUCGAACCUCUAUAAAAUUACGAUGACAACAUGUAAUUGAUUUUUAUUAUGCAAAACAAGUAGUAGUUGAUUUUUUAUUGUCACCAUCAAUAGAAGAUAAACCACUCACACACUUGAACACUCUUAGUUCAACCUUUAUUGUAAGAGAUAAUGGAGCUUUUAGCUCUUCUUAUUAAGAAUAACAAGGUAUUUCCUUCAGACAUCCAUCAAUAUAUCAAAAAAACACAUCCUGACCACCAAUUCACAUCAAACCACUACAAAUUUACAAGUCUCAUAAAAAUAAUAAAAGGGAAAAAUCCAUUCCCUUAUUUUACAAUCUUAAAAAAGGCAAUCAAAAUAACCAAGACUCCAAACCAAAUCUUAUAAAUAUUAAAUUCAAAGAAUAAACAAUUAAUUAAGAAUUUAAGAUUACAAAACACAAACUCUUACCAACAAAACCCAAGAAUUAUAACCUUAUGUGUAAAAAUAAUUAAAAUAAUCUUAUUUGUCGCAACAAUAUAUAGGCCAUUAAUAUCCAUUUAUCAAAGCAAAUUUGUACUGGGAGUGUCCAAGAAGGAAUUUGUAUUGGGCCAUCACUCUCAAUUUCUAAAUCUUAACCCUAAUCCUAAGAUUUUUUAUAGUUGCUUCAAGCAUACCUUCUUCCUUAACAAUAACCUCUUCAGUUAUGAAGAAAAGGGGGACAUGAAAAAUCUAACAUAAGAAAAUAAUUUUAAUAUCACAACAACAAUAAAAAAAAUCCUAACAAAAAUAAUAGAUUGGAAGGAGAGAGAUGGAAAGGAACACAUAAUGGACAAAGAGUAGAAGAUAAAGGGGAGAAACAUUAGAAUGGUUAGGGGUGGAGACAAACAUUUUGCAUUUACCAAUGGAAUAAUUAUUUUUGAAAAAAAAUAAAGAUUUUUUUUAAUUAUUUUUUAUAUAAUUACCAAGGAAAAUUAAUUUUGUCGGCAAAUGGUAAGAAAUAGUUGAAAAAAUUAACAAAUAAAUUAAUUUUUCAUCAUUAUUUAACGGUGCAAACUAAUCUCUCAAUAAUGGUAUUGAUAAUAGUUUUUUUUAAGCUAAUUCUUUUAGUAAGUAGUAGCAAUUUAAAAACUUUUCUUUAAAUAAAAGUUUUUUUAAGUUGUGAGUUUCUUUCAAACUACUUAAGUGUGAUUAACUCUUAAUUUUUUAAACUUUUAUGUUCAUGUAUUUAUUUCAAUUUAUUAACUUAUAUUAUAAAAAAUCCUCACUCUUUCAUCACUGUGUAAACACAGAAGGAGAUGCGUGGAGUUGAAAAGGCAGAGAAAAGAGCUCUCCGAAUCAUACACAUGGUCCCACGAACACGUAUCAAGAUCUGAGAAAACUUAGCCGAUUGCAUCAGGCUUGGUCGGAGCUAAAAGGUAUUGUCCUGUAGAGAAGAUGUUAAGAGGAGCAAAACAGGUGGACGCAGACCUAUGUCAGUUUUGUCAAAAAUAGCAAAAAAUCAUUACUGUCAUUUAAAUCUCUUAUAAAAAGAACAAUAAACAUUGCUUUUGUGAAAGACAAUUAUAUAUAUAUAUACACAUACCAGUUCGCUGUGUUUCUUCCACAUUUAAUUCUUGCCCGCCAUUGGUUAUGAUCUUCUGAUCAUGGUGUAGCUAGCUAGGGUUCGGACUCACCAGGUGAUGCUGGUGUGACCUUCAACAAUUCUAAUUGGUCUACCCGAUCAAGAACAUUAAAAGAGCAGUCUUUGGGCAAUCAUGCAGAGUGUGUGCGUGUGUGUGUGCAUGCAUGCAUAUAUCUGCCUCUAUAUGAUUCUUCAUAUUUGGAAAUAUCAAAAAGCUGACUCCAUGUGGUAGCUUCUUUUAAUAAAUAAUACUAUCCCGUGAUGUUUAAGUUUAACUAAUGCUUAAUUAUUUAUUGUAGCAAUUAACAUUGUUCUGUCAUUCCUUAAUUUUAUUAAUUCUGUUUCGCCUCUCUGUUUGCCAGUUAUGUUAGAUUGAUCCACUCCUAUAAAUUAAUUAACGUUUAUCCAAUUAUAUGAUGACAUGUGUCAACCCAUGUCUAAAAAUAUAAUUUUAAUUAUAUAUUCAUUUUACAAAAAUAGUGAUGAAAUAUAUUUCAUUGGUAAUUUCUAACAUAAUAAAAAUUUCAUCGGCAAUAUAACACCUUGGUACAUUCUGACUGAAUUGCUAAUAGCAAUUUUUAGUCAGUAAAUUUAAAAGAGUUAUAAUCAACAGUUUUCUCCCCUCCCCUCUCGUUUCUUCUUUUCCUUAUUCUUUCGGCCAAAAACAUAAUAGCCCAACCUGAAAAAUCUGCCCCCAUCCUCACAAAUUCAACUCGUCAACGUUCACCUACAUCUAUCAGUAAUGUUAGCAUAUCUCUCUCUUGGUUUGAUUUUUUAUGAAGUUUGGUAAGUAAACUUAUCAUUUUUUUGUAACUCAUUAAUGGUUUAGAUUAAUUUAUUGAAAUAAUCUUUAUUUGUUAUAUAAUUAAAAUAAUUUUUUUUUUUAUGUUUGAGGUAUUAUAGUUCCAACUAUUCAACCCUAUUACACCCGUGCACGGUGGUCAAAUUACAACAUCUUUUUUGACCCUUGGAGAAGAUCUGAUUCGGGACAUGCUUAGUGCCGACAAAAUGUAUACCAACUUGUUCAAAACAAAUAAAAAAUAAAAAUUGCUUCAUCCAUUAUAAAACAAAAUGUGUGCUUUCAUGAUUUAACAUUUUUAUCUAUUUGUUUUUCUUUUCAUUUUGUACUCUUAUGGCCAUUAUCAUAGUGUCGGCCUCUUUCUAACCAUGUUUUAUAAUUAUUAAUGUUAAGACAUUGGUUUAAUGAUUAUAGAGGGUAGCUCCAUUAUUAGCAUGCUAACAUAAAAUGUGAUUUUAAAAUUUUUCUACAAAAAAUUUAAAGGGUAUUUAAAAAAAUAGUAACGGUUAUUUUUUAAAAUAUUUUUUAUUUGAAAAUAUAAUAAAAUAAUAUUUUUUUAUUUUUUAAAAAUUAUUUUUAAUACUAACAUAUCAAAACGAUCUAAAAAUAUUAAAUAAAUUAAUUUAAAAUAUAUAUAUAUAUACACACCAAAACAAACAUCAUUAAAAUGAAAUACAGAUGCUGCAACUUUUGAUAAACAAGGUUUAUCUGAUACUAGUGUCCCUCUCAGGGAUCAUCACUUGAGAUUCGAGUGCCUUUUCUCGUGUCCACAUGCUCAGAGGGCUCAAUGAAUUUUUGAAUCUGACCACACAAAUGCAAUAAGUUGGCUGCAAAAGGACAACGAGAACAGAACAUGUUGCAUGCAUAAUUUCAUGUCUGUUCCUGUGAGGUUGUGUCAUGUAUUUGUAAAAGUGAUUUUAUUUGAAAAUAUAUUACAUAACAUUUUUUAUAUUAAAAUAUUAAAAUUAUAAAAAAAAUAUAAAAAAAAAUAUUAAUUUUUGUAUAUAAAUAUAUUUUUUAAAAAUAAAACCAAUCGUAAUCCCAAAUUUGUAUUGACGGGUUGCCUUUAUUAGUUUCUUUCAAUUUAUUUUUUUUAAUUAAUAUGAAUAUUCGAGUCAGUUUAUAUGUGUUUUAAUUAAUUAGUUUUAAAAUUAAUAAUUAUAUAAUUAUCACGUUGCUACGAAGGUAAUCAUAACCAUUUAAGUGAAGAAAAAAAAAUUUAAUAAAAAGAUUUACAGAUCACAUUCACUCGGAUUGAGAUUAUUUUAAUGGAAGCCACAGUAGUCGCUUUACCAUAGACAUUUCUUAUAAAAGGUAUCCAAGAAUCCUUCACCCCCACACCAAACCAAACCAUGGCUUCCUGUAUCUCUCUUUCCAGUAGCAUCCCUUUAGCUGCCUCCUCUUUCUUGCCUUCCUUCCCAAAAACACACCGAGUUUCCAGAUUUAAAAAGCCAAACCGUCACAAUAUCCCGAUUGUUUCUUGCAAAUCAGGCAAAAAUGAUCAUGAACAAAACCCUGCCACCAGAAGAGAUCUGCUCAUUGGUCUCGGUGGACUCUAUGGAGCAACUAGUCUUAGUGAUCCAUUUGCCUAUGCUAACCCCAUUGCACCCCCAGACAUAACCCAAUGUGAGCUAGUUACCCUGCCAACCGAAAGUGACCCCUCGAACUGUUGCCCUCCAACAUCCACAAAGAUCAAAAACUUCGAAUUCCCUUCUGCGUCCUCCCCAAUGCGCAUUAGGCCUGCUGCUCAUUUAGUUGAUAAAGCCUACGUAGCUAAAUACGCCAAAGCCAUUGCACUGAUGAAAAGUCUUCCUGACGAUGAUCCACGUAGCUUCAAGAGUCAAGCCGACGUUCACUGUGCUUAUUGUGAUGGUGCUUAUCACCAAGCAGGCUUUCCUGAUUUAGACCUUCAAAUUCACUUCUCGUGGCUCUUCUUUCCCUGGCAUAGACUCUAUUUAUACUACUUCGAAAGAAUCUUGGGUAAACUGAUUGAUGAUCCAACUUUCGCUUUGCCUUUCUGGAAUUGGGAUGCCCCUGCCGGCAUGCAAAUGCCAGCCAUUUUUACUGACCCCAAAUCACCACUUUAUGACCCCCUUCGCGACGCGAAUCACCAACCUCCGAUACUGCUUGAUCUUAAUUACGCCACAGGAGAUGCGAAUCCAGACCCUGCAAAAGCAGAGGAAUUGUAUGCAAGCAAUCUUAACGUAAUGUACAGGCAAAUGGUGUCCGGUGCCACGAAGCCUACUCUCUUUUUUGGAAAACCAUAUCGUGCUGGUGAUGAUCCAAGUCCUGGAAUGGGUACAAUUGAGACCACCCCACACACUGAGAUUCACUUCUGGACCGGCGACCCCAAUCAAACUAACGGGGAAAAUAUGGGCAAUUUCUACUCAGCAGGGAGAGAUCCCAUAUUUUUUUGUCAUCACUCGAACGUCGACCGAAUGUGGGACUUGUGGAAGAAAAUACCAGGAGGCAAGCGAAAGGAUUUCAAGGAUCCUGAUUGGCUUAAUUCAGAGUUUCUUUUCUGGAAUGAGAAUAAAGAGCUGGUUCGAGUAAAGGUUAAAGAUACUCUUGACACCAAGAAGCUAAGAUAUGGCUUUCAAGAUGUUCCUAUU
rnacentral:lncRNA from 1 species